UUUUUUUUUUUUUUUGUCAACACAGGGAUAUUCGGGUUAAUCCUUACGGGGCCCGACUAAUUCUCUGCAGGACUCGAACCCUGAACAAGUCAGAAAAAUCGCCAUAUCCUAAGGAGGGAGAGCGUGUCCACUCGCGCUAUCCCAUGAGAACAGAAGACUAGCCACUUAAAAGUGGCAAGUUUGUGGGAAGCAGGGGUUGAACCCCUAACCUCCAGCAUCACCAAAGAGGUGAUGACCACCGGACCAAAUAGCCAGUGGCUAUCUCAUCAGUGAAUUGAGAACACAAAACUUUUUUUUUUUUAAGUAGCCACUGGAGGGCAGAUUAUUGCUUUCUGUCCAGAGAAUAACAAGUUUCCCCUUUGGCGUUGGUGUAAUUUACCUAAGACCCAAUAUAUAUAUAAUAUAAUAAAAAGGUAUGUAAUCAAGCACAUGAUUGUCAAGGGCAGCUACUGGUUUUGAGUUCUCCUGCGCUGUAUUGUAGUCCUAGAGAUAAGAAUCAAAGCUCACGUGCUUCAAAUUCAGUCUGUUUUUCAAACUCUUCACUUCAAUCGCAUAACAUGGUGUGAACACGACUAAGCCCAACCAAGAAUGGUCAAAUACCCAAAAAAAUUUUUUUUUUUUAAGAACACGGAGGCUUUUGAACUCCACUUACUCAUCAAUUAUUUUCCGCACGAGGAAAUCGAUGAAUGCUUCUGGCGGAGCGGUAAGGAACAGGACAGCACAGAACUAGUACAGCGCCACUACAAUUCAUUUCCUCCUUCCUUCCCCUUAAAAACAAGGGAUAAUUCCAGAAACCUCCCUGAGAUUUUUGACACUUUCAUUGACCUCCUUUGAGGUUUUAAAAAUUACAGCAACCUCCUUUAUAGAAAUUUGGAUACAUUACUUACAUAAGAUACAGUGAAAGUACUACUUUGCCCUAAGACAUUAUGCAUUAUUAAAAAAAAGAUUGGGACACUAAAUAAAUAAGAUUAACUAAUUAAACCAAAACAAUGAUUAUUUCAUUUCAAAUUAGCAACCAUAAUUACAAUAAAAAAUGGUAUCAAUUGCUUUCCUAGGAUGGCGCUUUUUUUGUGAUUGAUAUCACUUGACAACAGUUAGAAUAGACAAUCUUAUAUAAUCUGCACAGAUAGAUCUUAUGAGCAAAGAGAAAUAGAAGAAUAUUCUGAUUGACUUAUUUUGUUGAAUCUUAUGCUCAGACAAAACUAUUUAUGCCUUUUGCUGUUGAUUUGUUGACUAUGACUUGUAUGUUUUUUACACCAAUACUUUUACUUUUAUCUCGUCCACUAAAAUAAAAGAUUAAUUUUUUAUCCAAAUUUAGAUGCUUAUAUGAACAAUUUAAUAGCAUUAUAGAGUUAGUUGUGUUUUUUUAUAUGUAGCUGCAAAUGAUAAAAAAUUAUGGCCAUUACAAUUUGCACUAGAUAUGUGCAGAGACCAUUGUUGCUUCAAGUUAUAGUUGCUACAUCUUUUCAAAAUUUAUGUAUAUCUCUUGACAUUUAUUAAUUAUUUUAUUAUUUACUAAUACAACUUGAGGACAAAUUAGAAAAGGGCAUAUAUAGAAGAAAAUUAUCAUCUCACUCCUCAAAAUACUUUUUAACAGUACUUUUUCUGAAUUGGAUUGAUUUGUUAUCAAAACUUCAAGUUCAAGGAAGAUUAGUAUAAUUUUUGAAACUUCAGGGGAGGUCCGUGAAAAUGUCAGAAACCUCCCUUUUCUGAAAUUAUCCCUAAAAACAACGGCCGAUGUCUUCUAAUCCAGGCAGCACGGAUCGGAUGCGUCGCGAAAGAGUACCGAGCGUACGUGUUUUGUAAAAAGUCGUUACAGCCCAGACUAUUGGGCCCAUUGAAGCCGGAUACAACCCAGUGAAUCCAGAUCAAGCGAUUUCACGUAUAGGGCUUCAGGAGACAGUAGUGUACUGUAGCCCACUCAAUGUCGAUCUGUAUACCAUGUCCUUGUUGUAUUUGAGUGUUGAUUAGGGCUUAAUGUCCUUGUUGUAGCCCACUAAGUAAGGAAAUUUUAUAUACCGCUGAAUUGGCCGAUGGUACGAGACCAAAACUCAAAAAGUGGGAGCCUUACAUCAAAUGUACUGCUAAAAUUUUUCUCAUAUUUUUUCCCAUAUUGUUGAUAAAAAAACUUAUUAAAAUUUAGCAUUAAAAAAAAAACAAAUCAAUGGAUGAGGCUAAAUCAACAUUUUUACUUCCUAAAUCCUAACAUUGCACAAAUUUAAAUAGUAACGGUACGAAUUAGCAAUGCGCCAUCAAUUCAUCAAAGGCGUGGAGUUAACACAACGCGUAGGGUGUGUAAUUAUCACUUUGCAAAAGCCAAUCUUUCCAUCCACUCAUCAUACUAACUAGUAACUGCACACGACCAACCAAUCUAAUAACCCCCGGUUUAACUGCAAGUUGUGAAUACUCUACAUGGCCACAUAAAAUAGAUUUCUUUCAGGGUCGACACUUGAGUAUUCACCUUAAUAGUUGGAGUUGGAUGUUUUUCGCAUUUCCAUUUUAAAGAAGUGGAAUCACGAGUUGAAUUCUAGCCAAUUUAAAUCAGUUGAGUUGACUCAAUUCUUACCGUUUUUUUUUUUUUUAAUGUAAAUUUGUAGUAUAAUAGUAGGUGUAACAGGAGUGUUUGGAUAUCACUACUAUCUCAAAUAAUAUUUCGCUUGCAUCAUAAACACAUUUUCAACUCACUUUUUUUAUAUUUUCAAUCACCUUUUUAUCUUACAUACAUCACAUCACAUCACAAAAAGUACUACAGUAAUUAUUUCAAAUAAUACCCUAUCCAAACAAACAAUUGACCACUGCAUCAAAGCUGCACCAGCUUAUCAAAAAAAUAAUAACAAUAAUAAAAUUAAAUCAAAUUAACUAUGGAAUUGAAGUGGGCGCCCCACGUGCAUGAAAGAAGUGUAAGCGAUGGAGAAUGGGACGGCUGGAGAGCAUCCAAGUAACUUGAGCCACUCCCUUUUGUUUCCUCUCCCAUCCAGCCUUAUUGCAGCUUUGCUUUGUUUGUUUGCUCUAUUUUCUUUUUCUUUUUUUUUUUUCCCCGUUCCAUCCAAACUCCAAAGUGCGCCGUCCUCCCUUCCCUUCUGAGCUCUUUAACACUACCUAAAUUGCGGCACCACUGACUGCAACUCAUCAUCUGAUCUAAUAUAACUAUUUCACUUCUCCAUUUUCAGCGGCCACUCGAUCCUUCCUUCACGAACUCGCAAGUUUCCUAGUACGUCCAUCUCCCUCCUGCCUGGCAAAGUGAACAAGAGAUGUCAGACUGGGGUCCAAUAUUUGUGGCAGUGGUACUGUUCGUUCUGUUAUCACCGGGGCUGCUAUUUCAAAUUCCCGGCCACCACAGGUGCGUGGAAUUCGGCAAUCUUCAGACCAGUGGCGCUGCCAUAAUGGUGCAUUCCCUGCUCUACUUUGCUCUCAUUUCUGUCUUCUUACUGGCCAUCAAGCUCCAUUUGUACCUGGGGUAGAGUCUCAGAGACGACUGUGAAGGCACGAAUUUCUUUUCUUUUCUUCCUAUUUUUUUGUUUAAUUUAACCAAAAAAAAAAUUUGCGCCUCCACGGUGCGCAAACAUAAAACACAAAUGUCAAUAGUAAUAAUGUUAUAGUAGUAGUAUUUGUAUCUGCUGUUUUAAAUACUUGGGCUGGGACUUUUCGGUUUUCCCGGCCGGAAUCUACUGCAAUAUGUCUAAGUCGAGGGUUGCGCCUUAUCCAUUCAACUGCUUGAAUCUACUUCAAUUGAGUUGCACUGUUCAUUUUUUGUUGCUAUUUGCACGAACGAUCGUGCUCUAGGCGAUUGCUUCAUCAAUUACGAAGAUUAGGUGAAAUUACACAGUGUAUUCGUGGUGAAUUGGUGGAGUGGAUUUCGCUUAUAGAGUGGAUCGAUUGUGAUGUUGAACUCAUUGGUUACCAAUCAAAUUCUAGCUUCUUCAUAGAUAUAGAUAUAUACCUGUGUGUGUGUGUGUGAGAGAGAGAGAGAGAGAGAGAGAGAAUGAGAUUGUUGAGAAAUUGUCUGCACUUUGUACGAGUUUUAGUACUAAUAAUGGUACAAUUCCUUGGUGCAUUAGGAUGUCAAUUUACGAUGCUAGAGUGUAGAAUUAGCUUAUCUCAAAAUUAAAAGGGUACAAGUAAAAGACCAGAAGAAAGAAACAAAAUCCGAAACGCCUUGUUCUUUGGAGUAAUUUCAAACAACGAGAGGAGGAAGGUCCAUGCAAAGGCAUUCAAUGACUUGCAAGCAUUUAUUCGGCCAACAAUUUGCGACAAUAGUCAACAAAUUCAUUCCAGGCAGCUAUGCCAAUAAAUUGUGGAGUUACUGCUUAAAAAGAAAUCUCUGUACCAACGCCGAAUAAUUCUAGGCUCGUCUCAUGAAUGUGGUUGUGAGGUCAAAUCAUGGCUUGUUUUUUCCUUUUUUCUUUUUUUUUUUUCAACCAGCCUAGGAUGAAAUGCUAGCUGCAAUGAUGGUUACAGUACAGUUUCGAGAAGGAAGUCUUUCUUUCUAUCCAGACCACUCAUUUAAAAGAGAUGAUUAUAAUAAUAAUUAGGGUUAAUAACAGUACUUUGUUCCCCUGAACUUAGUGGGUAUUCACACUUUGUCCCCUUCAACCUUAAAAUAUGUACAUUUUUACCCCAUGAACAUUAGUCAAAGUUAGAAAUACCAACAAAAGUGAGUGAAAUGAUAUUAUUGUCCUUUUAUUUAUGAAAUUAUCUAUAACUUAAUAUUAUUAUUUCCUUUCAUUAUUAAAAAAUGUACAUCUUCCCUAUCAUAUCAAUAAUACAACAAUCUCUGGAAAAAAAAAGUUUACAUUUAUUUUAUGUCCUUAAAAUUUUUCCUAUUGGGUUAAUAUUCACUUUUUUUAAUAUGUUUCUUUCAAUUUAUUAUACUUUAAGUCAAACAAAAAAGGAUAAAUAAUAUAUUGCCAAAAUAAGGAUAAUUACCAUAUAUCUUAUUGAAAAAGAGGUAAUAUUAAACUUGUUUUUUGUUUUUAAAAAAAAGUAGUUUUUAUUAUUUCAGGUUACGCAAACUUUUAACUUAAUGCCAUUUUCAUUUUUUGUUGGUAUGCUCAUAGUUUAGUAUUAUUGCUUUUUCUUCUUUAAAAAAAAUGAAAUUUGAUUUUAUCUCCAUUUUUCUUCUUUAAUUUUAAAACUAAGGCAUAUCAGCCAUUUUUAGCGAAUUUGAUUAAGAAUUUAAUAUUGGAAUAAUUUGAUAAAUGAAAAUGACAAUGAUAUUAGUAUAAGAGUUUAAAAUAUUUAAAAUAAUAAGAAAUACUUUAAAAAUUAGUUUAGUAUUAUAACCUUUUUGAAAUUUUGGCAAUUGUAUUCAUUUUAGGCAUUGUGUUAUUGAUCCAUUUUGUUUGACUUAAAAUCUAAUAAAUUGAAUAAAACAUAUAUAAAUGUGAACAUUAAUCCAACAGAAAAAUCAAAGACAUAAACUAAAUAUUAACCAUCUUUAACUUUUUUUAGUUUGAUAUUUCUAUGCAGUUGAUAUGAUUGAGAUUAUGCAAAUCUUUUAGCAAUGGAAGAAAAUGAUACUAAAACCCUGAUAAUGAUCUACACGUACAAAGUUUCGGGUCGGGUGUUAUCCAAAUGCAGCAUGCUACUGGUACUGGUAAUAUUUAUCACGUCACUCGCUUUCAGGUCUACUAUUUAUCACGUCACUCGCUUUCAGGUCUACUAUUUAUCACGUCACUCGCUUUCAGGUCUACUAACCCGAAGGUAGCUUUUUUCACCUUUUAAAUGGUAAUAAAAGAUGAGAACUUGUUUUAGUAGAGCUUCAGUUGUUCACACGUUCCGCCAUUGCUAAAAGGAUCGUGAAUUGGUGGUUCGUCUCUUCUCAAGUGUAGGGCCCCAUGCGUUUUUCAUGAAUCAUCUACGUCUACUCACUCUCUUUCCCAUCAAGAAAUUGCAUACAAAAUAUAGUAGAUCAGCAUUUUUAUUUUACUUGCAUCAUACAUAUAAGUUUUAAUUAAUUUUUAUCUCACAUUCAUUAUAUCUACAAAAAUAUUACAUUAAUUAUUUUAAAUAAUAAAACCCCAAGCAUCCUCUUCUGUAUUUUGGUUCUUUACAGAAAAUGGUAUAGAAAUAAAAUUGCAUUCUAUUACGAGAAAGUGUUGGUACUUUUUUUUCGAAUACGAUAAAUUUUAUUCUAUACAUAUACCUAUUAUGUACUAAGGAGAAGGGGUGGAUUCAAGCGGAUCAAUGGAAAAGUCGGAAAGAACUGAAGCGCAUUGUUACUUUAAAAUUACAUAAGAUUUUACUAAUUCUGUUUUUAAUUUGCAAGAAGAACCACAUACUGUCUGGAAUCAUUGGGUUUGUUUGGAUAGAGUAUUAUUUGGAAUAAUUACUGUAGCAUUUUUUUAUGAUGUGAUGUAUGUGAAAUAAAAAAAAUAAUUAAAAAUAUAAAAAAAUAAGUUGAAAAAUAUAUUUAUGAUGUAAAUCAAAUAUUAAACAAAUCCAUUAUUACUUUCCCAUGCAGGGGCGGGGCUGCUCUUUCAAGUAAACUUUCGGCAGCAAUUUUUUUGUUUUUUAUUAACUCCCCGGUAGCUUAGCUUCCCGACUGAAGCAAACUUGCCUUCGCUUUUAAAAGACCAUUAACUUAUUACUAUUAGUAGUACUCGGUGCUUUUAAGCAUGCAGCUCAAGACGAAAAAUCAACCCAGUUGCUUCCCUUAGCUAUGCUACUUCCGCGCGAAAUUCCAGACAAACACGAAAAAAAACCAAUAAUAAUAAUAAUAACACGUACUACUAACCGUCGCCUAGCAAAUCGAAUGCUGUGUAUCUCAUCACCCAAAGCUAUGAAAGCCACUUAAAAAAAAAUUCAGAAAAGCUAUGUUUAUGAUAUUUUUUUUUUUAAGGACAAAGCUAUGAAACUUGGGUAAAACAAAAUACUAGUAGUACUUACUAUACGGUGCAGCAACUCAAAUGACUAAUUAAUUAAUUAAUUAAAUAAAAUGGCGUGGUGCAGCAGCAAGAUCCAGAUGGAUAGCAGGGACAACCCGCCCAAUCUUUAAGAUACUGCCAGUCUGCCACGUACUAGUAAAUGCUUUUGGGUCACAAGGACCGUAACCCCAUCCCCAUUGCCCGUUUCACUUUGUAACUUUUUUAGUAUGCCCCAAAUCCACACAGCUUUUCUACUACUACUACUAACUUUAUGACAACGAUUUUAGCUGUAUCCUAUUCCUCCCAUUCUUGUUAUUCCUUUCUUUGCUCACUCCUUCAAGAAUCCGCUGCCUUUAAUUUUUUCAAGCCUAUAAGUAGUACGGUGUAAUCAAUCUUUCUUAGCUUAGCAAAACUGGUGUGUAGUGAUAGUAAAAGAAAGAGGGAGAUAGGGAAGGCAGGACUCAGGAGAGAAGAGAUCCAGCAGCAGUAGCAAGUUGUGAGAGUAAGAUGGCAGAUUGGGGGCCGGUGGUAAUAGCGGUGGUGCUGUUCGUGCUGUUGAGUCCAGGGCUGUUGAUUCAGUUACCGGGGAGAUCAAGAGUGGUGGAGUUCGGAAACAUGCAGACAAGUGGGCUGUCGAUACUGGUUCACACCAUCAUCUUCUUUGGCCUCAUCACCAUUUUUCUCAUUGCCAUUGGGGUUCAUAUCUACACCGGCUAGACCAAACCACACCAAUCCCCCCCCCCCCAGCUAGCUUCUUCUUCUUCUAUAAACGUUUUUUCCUAUUGCUGUCUCUGUCUGUCCACAGAUAUCUUGAUUUCUUAAUUUCUUCUUGUUUGCUGGUGUAGUUUGACUGGGUUGAGCCCCUGAAGCUGCACGGGAUUUUAUCGUGUUCUCAUUGGGGAGGGGGCCACUGUGUGGUUGGUCUGCUUUAAUUUGCUUUCGUUCAGUAAUCGGUGUUGUUUUGGGCUUUUCAAGUGCAUUUCAAUAGAUAGUUUUUGCAAUCUAUAUACUGCUGCCGUGCUACGUUACUAGUAUCAAAAAAGCAGCUGCUACUUCAAAGUUCUUGCAUCUUUUAAUUGUACUUACAAAUUUGUGCACGCAUUCUUGCAUCUUAAUUGAUUAAUUUCUGUCUUGAAACUCGUUUCCGCAAUUGGAUGAGCGAUUUGAGAUUUGCCGUUCCCGUGACCCGACCCAUCUUCAAUCAAUAAUUUUUGGUGUUAUCUGAGCCCUUUCACUAAAGUGAUAGUCUAGUUGCUUAAUUGCUAGAGGAUUAGCCCGCACCAAAACGUAAACAAUUCGUAUUCAUUACUACCGUUGCCUCGAGAAGACUUUAGGAUGCGAUUCUUCCACAAAAUUCAACAAAUGCAUAGACGAAUCCAGCGCACCAGGCUGCUUUGAAUCCAUGCCAACACAAGUCAUCAAUCCUCCUUAAGUAGGACUCGGAUUUUUUUCACUUCUUGCAUCUGGUGUUUUCUUUUGUCACAAGGCAAGACAUCUGGGGUUUUCUUGCAUCUGGUGUUGAAACCCAGACAUGUCUAUCCUGGUCCUUGUUUAGAUUGCGAUUUUUCGUCGAAAAAUUACAUCAUUUUUCGUGAUCUCGAAAAAUUACAUCGUUUUUCGUGAUCACAUUUUUUAAUUAUCUUUUUUCCUCAUAUACAUCAAAUCGCUGUAGUACUUUUUUCAUAAAAAAUCAUAAAAAAUGCAAUCCAAACACAACCCUAAUUAUCGACUUGUACUUCUGAUACCCAAAAAGAAAUGGUACACAUUCAACAGCUAACAAUUCAUGCCUAUUACUUGCUCUCUGUUUCCAAAUGAAAGGAUGCGCGACAGAGAGUAUAUAUUCAAAGGCACAAAAAGCCAUAUCAUCGUAACAUAACGUGGUGCAGAGAUGUGUUAAAACUGUAGAAAGAAAUUGGUUUCUCCUAUUUCUUUGUUUUGACUUUUGAGUAGUAAUAAUAAGGCUCCCCCUGCCCUAUAUAUGCUUCUUCGAUUACUUGUACAGCGCGCCCUUUCCGGUCUUUAAUGCAGAGGCCAUAUAAAAAAUAAUAGACCCAAGAGAGAGAGGUACCCAAAAGACUGGGCACUGUUCCUAAAAGUUUAAAUCAAAGCCAGCUCCAAGCUUCCAUAUGCUAAUACUACAGAGACCAGCAGCCAGCCAUAAGAAAAAUCACGCCGCUUAAUCUUGCCGAGCAUCUCCCAACUAAUCUAAACUGCUUCACAAGAGCAUCCAGGCUGCAGCAGAGAUAGAACAGGGGAAUUUUAUUCAACAAGUCUUCGAUGCAGUGAUUUCAGACCAUUUUACCAUUUAUUUACCAGAGAGAAAACAGAGGACAACUAUCAUCUCAUAUGACAAAGGAGAACCAUAACCAUAUAAGAAAAUGAAAAACCAUCACUUCAGACGCUCGGCUUUAACUGCAGUUGUUACCCCAUACUCGGCUUUAACUUUUCAUGAAUUAACCAAUUUUUAUGCCUAGACUAAAUCUAACAAAAAGCCAGAUCAGAUCAGGAAAGCAUGUGCUAUGGCACAGAGUACCAGGUAAAAUAUGGUUUUACUCAAUGGAAAAAGCCACUAUUACUAUUACUUCAUCAAAAAAAAAAAAAAGCAAUGAAAAAGGAGCAGCUUUCAUGACACACUACUAUCUUUCAAGUCCUAGAAAACAAAUCGAUAUAACUCAAACAGUACUGGACUAUUAGAGAAUUUCCAUUGCGAGUUAUCUUUAACACCACUAGAAUGGCCAAGAAAUGUUGGUAGAAUGAAGUCAACUUGAAAUUAUACCACAUAUGGGGUCCCGACUCCCGAGUAAAAUUUAGACUGCGGUUCUCCUCAAAUUCACGACACAACUUAAACGUGGAACAAAUGAUGUCAGGGCCACUUCCACAGUGUAAAUCACUCUCAAGAAAAAAAAAGUUCAAAUCAGUUAAAGGAAGUAGUUAUAUAUCGUUUUGAAAAAAAAAAAAAAGUCAAAGGAAGUAGUUAUCCGGUGAAUGCAAGGACCAUAAAAGAUCUCAAACAUUUCUUUAGUAAUCACAUCAGUGACGUGUGGGAGAGACACAAAAGGACAGGUCUACUGCAUGCACAAUACUACACUUUGUAAAGCCUUCGCUAAAGUGUGACUGAAAAUGAGACUGAAAGGCCACAAGAUUAGAGUAAUCAUACAUGUUAAGUAAAACACACCGAACGUCUGGGCACAAAUAAUUCACUGCUGUUGUUCGGUAAAUACACACACACAAGCACAGAACAACAGUAAGAUCUGUCCUUAAUACACCCUCACCGUCCAUGCAACUGCAUACACCCAAAAAUGUUGGCACGCAUUGCAUCAGUUGUAAACCAAAAUUCGCUUUUGCAAGUUUUACCAGAAAGUGCCAUUCCAAAGGAGAAGGAGCUUGAGAAAUAAUCACAAUUGAGUGUGGUGGUAAUUUGCAUUUUACCAUACAAUACAACAAUCUAAGAUACACAGCGGCAUCUUGAAGUUGGCAGGAAGAGCACAUCCAUUAAGAUGGACAACGAAUGCGAAGUCCUUACUUCACUCCAGAGAUUGUGAAUGGACUAACAAAAUUCAUAACAGGUAAAAACAAGCCGUCGCACCUAUAAUUAAACAACCCCAAACUCUUGUUUCUGGCAACUAAUACAUCACAAGGAUACUUUGUUAAGAAAGUGCUAAUUAGCCAAUUAUAACCAGAAAAAGACAAUAAUCUUGAUAAAUUAAAGACAAGAACGACAUAUCUGGCUAAGCAAGUUUCAUUUCACAAUCUACAGUGUCAUUAAAAUUCCACCCCCCACAACUAGCACAAUCAUAAGAUCAGGCUUCCAGUAAGUCAGAACCACGCAUCAAUUUACCCAGUUAAGAAGCAGAAUCGUUUACGUUUAUCGUUAAAGAAAAAGAAUAUAAUACUCUCUCCGUCCUAUUGAAAUGGGACGGCGCCAUAUUUUUCUUUAGAAAGUUUUAAAAUGUUUGUUAUCCUACUAAAGUUUAGAGCCAAAGUUACUUUAAUCUCUUUUUCUAAUAUUAUCCCACUUUAAUAUGCAUUGCAUACCUACUAAAUUCAGAUUUGGAGGACGAUUUUGAAAACAAAUCCACUAACCUCGCCAUCAAGGUGCAUGCGACAAACAAUUUAAUUUGGGUGGAGGGAGAACUAGUUAAGCCAAAAAAAAAAAAAAAAGCUAAAAACGUGAAGUGAAACGAAGAAUCUUACAAUUACAAUCCUUUCUGGGAGAUGGCGGGCCGGAGCUGUGACAAAGAAUCGCCCGUCCCAGCAUAGACAAGCUUGAAACCAACCCAACUGCAUAAAAGACCAUCACCAAUCCGAUCACCCAAGGCAUCAAAAGGAACCCAAUAAAGAAAGUCACCGAUCCACACAGCAUCAGCGCCAGAGAUAUCCCCAAAAGCAAAGAAGCAAACCCGGCCGGUGUAAUCUGUUGCAUACCCGUCUGCCUUCUCCUCACCGCCAACCCAGUUGCAGACGAGGAAGAUUCAUCCGACGGGACACUGUCAGACUCGUCGGAAAACUCAAUCGGAGUCGGUGGAGAUCGUAAAAUGUUCAUAAUCAUAGCUGACAGCUCGUAAAACACCUUCGACUGCUGAUCUUGUUGUCUCCCCAUCGUGUUUCUUCAAUUUCCUUUUACAAAUAUAUUUUUGAAAAAUUCGUAAAAUGCCAAUUCCAACCCGGAACUAUAAGAAAAGGAAAAGCUUGAUUCCUGGAGCGAUCAAAUGGAAAAGAAGCCUCAAAAAUUCAAUUUGUGGAAAUCGAGGCGAAUGGAUAAAGUUUUGACUGGGGAUUUUAGUUACGUUUAUCCGUUUAAUGGAUUUUAAACGUUACCAUGGUUUAAACCUUAUCGGAGAAUGGUGCUUCCGUAAUGUUAAAUACUACUACUGCUAAAUUAGUAGUAAUUACUAGUACUGAAUUUUAUAUCAUGUUAGACUUAAAAAAGAGCUUUCAGAGGGACAAAAACUGCAAAUGGCACAAAGGAAUUUUAUCGUGUUAGACUUGAGACAACAAAGGGGUUUUUUUUUUUUUGGAAGGAAUGUGUGCUGUUUCAAUGCCGUAUGGUAGUGGAAUGGGCUGCUAGUCCAGUAUAUAUCUACAUACGGAUAAUUGAGGAAAUUUUAUGCAUUUGUGUUUAUUCUACUUUGCAACCCUAAAGUUCUUUUAUUGUAAAUUUGCAUCAGAGUUUCAUUUGGAUGUCUCUUCUCCCGUAAAAAUUUGUACUGCAAUUUGCCCUCUUUUUUUUUUUUUUGGGUAAGAAAGACUACGUUCAAAAUAACAUUUAACACAGGUUUACAAACCAAAUUUUGCCCUCAUUGUUAGUGAGUCGAGAGUCGGGAGUUAUCGUAUGAGUAGGAUGUCAAACUAGUAUCUUCUAUUUGAGAAACGCCAAAUUAUUGAAAUGCGAUAGUUAAUCUAUCAUGUAAAGUUAAUUCAAAUACGGAUACAAUAUGGAAUGGUCAUGUCUGUUGUUAGAAUUAAUCGCUCAAAUUAUGACAUAAAACAUCUUUAAAUUUGAGAGGAUUGAUACAUUUUGAUAAAGAAAAGUUUUAAAGUAUGGUUGUCAAUAAUCAUAUAAUAAUUUAUCCAUAAAUCUUUAUUCCACUAGUUUUAUCCUUGUUACGUAUAUUUUAACGUUAUACUAGUAUUAGCCGAGCUCAAAUUCACUUAGAAAUGGCUUUUUGGUGUUUAAACUCUAAUUGGGAUGCACAUCAUUUAACCUAGAUUGUCAAGUCUUAGGUACAAAGUAAAAUAUGUCAAGCUUGAAGGGUGCAAAUGAAAAGAAUCCCUUUUUUGAACGAUUGCAUUAAAACGAUGUCGCGUGUCCGAGAAAAUAGCUAGAGGUGCUUUAUCAGGAAGGGAUGUAGUUGAGUGUGGGAGAAGAUAAAAGGAUCCUGUUGGAUCGGUGCAACGAGGUAAGGGUGACACGUCACGUUCUAUGAGCGCUUAAUGUACACGCGCAAUUAUUGGAGUUGUUGAUCUAUUCUGAUUGAUGCGGAGUAUCUGAUUCGAGGUUGCAUGACGUGGGGGCUCUAUCUUCUUAAGACUGCGAAGGCCAGUCCACACGUUGUUUGAGUGCAGAGGUGGAGGCGCGUGCAGGGGAUUGUUGACGGUGGACUAACGUGGCACGGCGGGCGUUGGUUGGAAUGGAAUGGUUUAGCAGUGGAGUUGACAACCACGUGCCCCUGAGUUUGGCUUUUUAUUAAAAUUUUUGCUGACUGAAUUGGUAUAUCACCUUCAUGUUAUCCAGAAUGAACGUCAAAAAGAACCAUCAGUCAAAAAGCCCUUAAGGUUUGGUUGUCACAUAAAAAUAUUGAUUUGCUUUAAAAAAUUCAGACAAAUACGUAGUGUACUCGUUUGAUUCGAUAGUGAUUCAGUCCCCUUCGAAUUAUCCCUGAAUCUCUUAGAUCCUCCCCUCCCCUAAUAUAAGAUAGACUAAGAUAUAUUACAGUUAUCGUCUCAGAAAAAAAAAAAGAAUAAAGGUCAAAAAGAAGAGAAGGAACAGAUAGCUUUUUAAUUUUCUUUCCCAAUUUUUUUAAAAAUUUUUUUUACCGCUGCUGCUGCUGCUAUCAUAACCAUAUAAGAGUUGAGCAAGUCUUCACAUAGGAUAAGCCAACAGCAUCUUGGACUGGCUGGCUGGUCAUCACUAACACUUUCAAAUGUUUGUGGGGGUAAAAAAAUAAGGGCACAAUUCUUAUCUUUCAUUGUAUACUUAUCACUUAAUUAUGAUUGUUAUAUUUAAAUGAAUUUUUUAGAUAAAAUUUCGUCAACGCUCUAAAUUAGACUAGAAUAAAUUAUAAAAAUAUUAACAUUACGAUUAAAAAAAAAAAGGCAGAGAAAAACUUCACAUGGGAUAGGGUGUAACAUACUCUAUGUGGCUAGACGUAGUAGCUUAGGGACUCCCAUCACAAUCCCGUCGACUGACCCCAAGGGUAGCAUCACCAAAGCCAGAGGAGGAUGGCUUGAUAUUUCCAGAGGAGGAUGGUUUGAUAUUUUCUGGCCUGAUUGCAUGCUCUUUUUUUAUUUUUAUUUUUUUGAAGGAAAUGAUUGCACACUCUUACAAAAGCCUCAGCAACAAAUAGCUCAUCAGUAAUCCGCACAUUUAUCAUCAUCUCAUAUCCAAGUCUUUAUCGCAUACGUAUGCAUGCAUGAAUUAUGGAGGUGGGGCUUUUGUUCCCUCGGCCCCUUCUUAAUCACCUGCCAUGACCUAGACUUGUUUGCAGUCCAUAGAAAAUAGAUUAGCGCCCAUGGCUCUGCUGCAACCACUCUUGCUGGCUAUCACCAAUAGGGAUGUAAUCGAGCCAAGUCAAGCUCGAGUAUUGCUAUACUCGAGCUCGACUCGACUCAUAUAUACCUAAGCUCGAGCUCGACUCGAGCUCGAUCGAGUACAAAAAAUCGAUACUUGAAUAUUGACUCGAGGAACUCGCUUUAAACUCGAGACUUGAUUCGAUAAGACUCGACCUUUAGUCAAGUCUUAUCAAGUCGAGCCUAAUAAAGCUUUUUGACUCGACUCGACUCGACCAAUCUUCCCUUUUUUAGACAUUUUUUCUUUUUAGGUCUUUUUACAAUUAUGUUAUUACUUUUUUGCCAUUAUGAAAUUUUAUUAUAAAGAAAAGUUUAUUGUAAAUUCUGUAAAACUUAUACCCAUAAUGGUCAAUUUAUAAUUAUAAUACAUAUAUAUUAUUUAAAUUAUAAAUAUAUUAUUUAAAUACCUCUGGCUCGACGAGUAGCUUGACAAGUCUCGAGCCUCAAACUAUUGGCUCGAAACUCGACUCGAAUGACAAUCGAGUAGCUCGAGACUCGGUUGACCGAGCUACUCGCGAGCUACUCGAUUAUGACUCGGCUCGCUUACAUCCCUAAUCACCAAGUACUAAUUACCAACACUUUAGAUAGAAAGCCACCGAACCAGCAAACCCCAGUGACCACUUAGAAUUAGUACCGACUGUAAAAUGUUUACCGAGCUGGACAAUUACGGCUGAGGUUUAGUGUAAUUGUGUUCAAAUGUUUGGUGAUCUUUUAGACAGGAAAGACGGAUGCAGGAAAGGAAGCAUAAAUUAAAACGAAUUUUAUACGAUCGAGUAACAAAUUAAUAGUUGCAUAAUCAACCAACACGAGCAUAGGUAUCAGCAGUAAUCUGGUGGUUUCAGCUUUCUCUCCCAUUUUAAGGCGCAUACCAUAUUAUUUUGUUCCAUCUUAAAUUCAUUUUCGGUUUUAGUUUAGCUGUAACAUCUUAUUUUUCGGCUAAUCCCAAGUUAACCACAAACCAAAGUCGAAUAAAAAAACUUUUGAAACCAUGCAUGAACCCUUUACUUUGUGGUGUUCUCACUUUAUUUGAUCGCGACACAUGAUGUCGGCAGUUUCAGCCAAAAUGAUCAUAGUUGGUUGCUAAGUCGCUCUCCGUAGAAUCUUCAACGGGGAAUUGAAUGGACGGUUUUGGAUACAAAAUUAUUUCAAAUUCUUGGUGUGCUUAAAUUGACUUUAUUCGUAAAAAAUUAUUUUCUUGCACUACAAAUAAGUUAUUUAAUUACCUUUUUAAUUUUUUAACUAUUUUUUAUCACACAUGCGUUAUAUCAUAAAAAAAAAAGUAUUAUCAUAAUUAUUUUAAAUAAUAUUUUAAAUAAAAUUCCAGAAUUUCCUGUCCUGUUUGUGUAUUUUACCCACAGUCAAGCCUUUUAUGCUGUUCCAAGUUACUUCCACGGUUUUCAAAGUCAAGAACUGAAGUGGGCAUGUCUCGGGAUGUUUUCUAAGUUGUUCUUGUCGUGACAAAGACCUCCUUAAAAAUUGAGUCGGUUUAUUUAUCAUUUUAUCUCAUACUUCCUUACUGCUUACGCCAAUUUUCAUCUUACUCAGACUUGUUGCUUGAUGACUUUUCUCACCAAAAAGAAGAGGGAAAAAAAAAAAAAACUUGUUAAUGGAGCGAGACAAGAUUAACAGGGUGGGAAUAAAGUACACGUGAAGAAGAAGAAGAAGAAGAAAUUAAGAAGAGUUGUUACCUACUACGACGAAAUCAAUAUACACUGAAAUGCUCUCUAAUUUUUAUUUUUUGUUUUUCGAGCAGAAUGCUCUUAAAGUUUAGUCAUCCCUUUUUAUGUAUUGCCUUUUCUCAUCCGUGAAUUUGAAAGUUAGCAAGCACUUGAGUAGAUCCGAUAUAUGUAAAUUAUGUGGUCACACCAUUUCAUCAACUCACGAACUCAAGGUGUAACAAAAUUUAGAUCACAUGAUAUAAUAUCCGGUUCACCUAAAUUUUUGAAGGUUAACUUGUUAUUGACUAGAGAUUCAAGGGAUAGCUUUAGGGGGCUUUCUUGAGGUUUCUGACACCUCAGCCCCGAUGAAAUGAUCGAAUUAGCCUUAAAGCUUACAAGAUAUCUUAUGUGGGCUUAAUGAAUUAGACCACUAGUUAAUCGAAUUAAUGGAAAUAAACACAAUUUAGAACUGCAAAAAAAAAAAAUCUAACUUGCCAUGAGAUUUGUGAUAAUGUCACUUAGCACUUUUUAAUUUUGAAAAAUAUCACUUGAUUUCCCUAUUUUUAACAUUUUAUAAUAUUACCAACCAAUUUCAAAAUAUAUUGUUAACAAAAUUAUUGGUGGUUAGAGAAUAUAUUUUCAUUCCAAUAUUGUUAGUUUCUUGUAAAGCAUUUUAGAUUCAUAACAAAUCUAGUUUAUCUAUUAUUUUUUGAAAAUUUAGCCUAUAUGAAUUUUUAAUUAGGAAUUACAAGGUGUUAAAAAGAUUGAUAUACCAAUUGAUAAUUUUCCCACCAAUUUAAUUAGCCUAUACAAGAAAUAUAAUAAAAAUUUGAUAUUCUAAAUAAUUAGAAAACCAUAAAAAUUAUCCGAGAAUUUUACAAUGAAGAAAAUAAAAUUUUGUGUGCUAAAAACACCUCAAAUAAGUUUCUAAAUAUAUAGUUAAGAGAGUACAUAUGUUUCAAGUUUUCAAGCCAUAGAUUUAGACAACACCUAAAUCCCUAAAUUCAUCCACAAGCAAUUUUUGAAUAAAAAAAAUAAUUUUUGUCUUUAACAAAAUCUCAAAUGAGUUUGUAAACAUAAACCUUUUGCCUUUUGUCCUUUUUUCUCCUAGUUUUCAAGCCAUCAAUUUAAACACAAAAUUUUGCAAUUUUUAAAAAAUUCUACAAAUUUUAAAAAACUCAUGAAAUUGAUCGAAAACAUUUCACAAUAAAGAAAUGAUCUUUUCUUUUGGGCUGAAAAGACUUUGAAUACAUUCUUAAAACUUUUUUUUUAAUGCUAAAAUACCUAUUGUUAUAUUGUGUCCACUAAAAUUACACAUUUGUAUAGUUUGUCUUUAUUUUCAAUAUCUUAUUACAUGCUUUUAAUUUUGAUAAAAAAAAAGAAGAUUAAAACAGCAAAGGGCACUUGUGAAAUGAAAACAUCUUGGCUAUCUAAAAAUGAGUUUUUAAAUUAUUUUAAAAUAGGUUGACAAUGUGAUAAAAAGUUAAAAGUAGGGAAGGCAAACACAUUUCCCAACCUACCUUUUUAUAUUCCCAAUUAACUUUUUAUCUCACAUACAUCACAUCACAAAAAGUGCUACAGUAAUUAUUCCAAAUAAUAUUUCAAAUAAUACACUAUCCAAACAAACCUAUAGUUUGUUUUCUGAGUUGGAGACGUUUGGAACCCAAAAUGGAGACCCGAAAAUGGAACAUUUUAUUACGUACCAUAGCGCUUCGCUCAUCGGGAUACAUAAACAGUACUAGGUUUGUUUGGAUGGUGAAUUAUUAGAGAUAUUUUUAUUGUGGUAUUUUUUAUGAUGUGAUGUAUGUGAGAUAAAAAGGUAAUUGAAAGGAUAAAAAUAUGUGUUGGAUUGCGCUUCACUCAAAUACUGCUAGUGUCAUGAUUUGUAACAAGUCAUCCACGAUUGCACACAGGUGGAAGUAGAGUUGUGGAGUAGCAUAUGGGAAAGCUGCGUUAUAGCUUAUAGGUUGUGGAAUUUGAUAGGACAUCACUCCUGCAAGCAAAAGCGCUGUCUAAGUAUGAACCACAAAUUUAGCGGUGCAGCAGCUGCGUUUACUGAGCCAAUCACAAGCACAAACAAAAGCAGGGGGGUUGAUUACUCUCGUGCAGGGUACCGGAUACAGAUGCCACCUGUCCCUCUCUCUUUGCUUGUUUGUGGACAGUCAGUCGGGUAAGAAUUAUCGUUUGGAAUGCUAUUUUUAAGAAUUUCUGUAGAAAAAUAUAUUAUAUUAAUUUGGCAUAUAUAAAAUAAAAAUAAUUAAAAGCGUAAAAGUUUUCCAUCAGAAAAAUAAUCUCUAAGUAUGUGUCUGUGUAAGUUGGGGACAUGACUUGACUUGACCCGCAAUUAUUACCGAACUCCAAAUGAUUUAGGAUUCAUUUGAAUUAACUAUUUUUUUUUGAUAUUUUUGAACUAUUUUACUGUAAUAAUACAUAUAAAAAACUUUUUAACAUAAAUAUUUUUAUGAUAUUUUUUGAUGUGCUUUUGAAAUAUUUUUAAAACUUACAAAUUUUGUGAUUUUUUUUAAAAAUUACCACUACUAUCCCCUCAUUUCUUCCUCCUCAUCCCAUUUUUUCUUCCCUUUCCCCGCCAUUCCUCACAGCUCCUUUCUCCUCCAGAAUCUGGUUGAGAUCAGAUCGAGAUCUCUGAUCACGACAUCUAGGCCAAAUCAUAGUCUAUGGUCGAGGCUAGAUUUGGGAAGGAAGUAGAGGGGUGGGACGUGGUGAGAAAGAGGAGGGGAAGGUAGGAGGGGAGGAGGAAGAGUGAGGGAAAGGAAAUAGGAGAAAAGAGGGGAUGGUGGCGAUGGUUAGGGAUGCAAACGAGGCGAACUCGAGUCGAGCUUUGGCUAAUCGAGUCGAGCUCGAGUUAAUUUUGUGAAAUUCGAACUCGAGCUCGAGGUCGACGAGUUCAAAAUAUCAAGCUUGAGCUCGAGCUUAAAAAAUAAAAAAAAAAAAUUUAUUAUUUUAUUUUUAAAAAAUAAAAAAUAUUUUUUUUAAAAAAAAUGAAUAAAACAAUAAUUUUUUUAACAAAUAAUAAAAUAUUAGGGAUAUAUAUGUAAUUUUACUAUUAAAAUAAAAAAUAAAAAAUAAAUAUAUAAUUGAGCUCGCGAGCCAACGAGUUUAAUGUUUUUGAACUCGAGCUCGAGCUCGAGAUCGACUUAAUUAGCUCGAACUCGAUUCGAGCUCGAUAUUGACGGAUUCGAGUCGAGCUCGUAUUCGAGCCGCUCGCGAUCGACUCGCGAGCGGCUCGAUUCGCGAAACACCCCUAGCGAUGGUGAAUAGGGAUGGCGGUGGUGAGUGACAGUGAUAGACGGAAGAAGAAAAUAGUGUAAAUUUUAUUUUUUAUAUAUUUAGAGUUGUUUUUUAUAUAUAUUGUAUAGACAUAUUAUUAAAGUUAUUUUUGAUUGCAUAUUGGUAUAACAUUAUAUAUGAGAAACAUGUUUUUUAAAAAAUGAAAAUGGAGCCUUAAACUUUUGAUAACACCCAAAAAAAAAAAGAAAAAGAAAAAGAAAAAGGAAAACGAGCCGGCUGGUGCGCCUUCUGAUCUAUACGUCACUUCUUUCAUUUCCCAACACCUAAAACCUAAAAAAAAUUGCAGUAAAGGGUACGGGUAAACACACUCACGAGAAAAAGCUGAGGGUUAAACACUCACUAACUCUUUUUGGCCUCCAAAAAAGUUUGAAAGGUGACUCUGUGCUACGUUGUCCAAUGUCCACUGCCCAGCAAGCACAUUACACCUAUAUCCGUCCUCUCUUUCUUGAUUAUAGUCCCUUGUACACUGCUACUAUGAAUAUUAUUUAUUUUUAAAGUUAGUUUUUCUAAUGCUCGAGGUCAAACUCAAUCCACGGCUUUAGGCAGGCUCCUCGUAUUAUAAACUAGCAGCGCUGCUAUAAACUACUAGUCCAAAGAAAAGCGUAAAUGUGGCGCGCCACCACCAAGUCUAUGGAACAAUAAAGCAUCAAUGAUCAAUGGAGUCGAGAGGCAAAGGCAACCGGUUUUACCGGCCAAUGGCUGCUUCCUAUCUUUCUGCAGUCAAAUGGCAAUGGGCGGCCGGAGCGCUGUGGAACAUCCAACCUCUCUCUAUCCGUAUAUUUAUUAUAAUUUAAAAGCUGUAAGUUUGUUCCACUGCCGCCAUUUGUAACCGACUCUAUCCUUUAUUUGGACGCUGCCGAUCGGCUUCAUGUAUGCGUCUAACGUAGUAUUUUCCAUUCCUACUCCUUUUCCUUUUUUUGCCUUUUUUUUCUGCGUGAAUUUUCAUCCAUUUCUGUAUUUUCGCUAAUGUUGUAGCAUUAUAAUCCCAUCCAAAAAAAAAAAACGCAAGUAUAUACACUGCAUAGACUUCUUCUUUUUUUUUUUUUUUUAACUUUUCUACCAACCUUGGAUGAUACACUUCUGAUUUCAAUUCUUUUAAGAUACUUGCAAGGUUAUAUAUUUGCCGGGUGGUCGCCGCUUCCUCUUGUUGCCUCUGUGGCCAUCCCCAGCGGUGAGGCGGAGUAAGGAACGAUGCUCGACAAUGCAAGAUAUAGGGAGAAGCAAGAUAAUGAUCGUUAUUAUUUUUUUCCUUUUGUUGGCUAAGAAUAAAUAUGAUUUUACGACUUUGUCAGCAUUCUUGCUCAUACAAAUUUUCUUUCAAGCAUGCCAAACCCCCCCCCCCCCCCCUCCCCCCAAAAACACCAACCAAAAAAACAAAGCCCUCAUUUUGUUAGUGUCCGUGGCAUUAAGUUGCAAAUCCUCUGUUGCCAUAGAAUGGCUACGCUGCCUAUUCUCAAGUCUUCCGUUUCCGGAUUCGACUUGAAGAGGCUCAAGUACCUGGCUCGGCCGAAGUGGCCCUAGUCACGGUCAUCAACCAAAUUCACCAUGCACCAUAUUUUAGUCUUUCCUUUUCUUCCUGUCUUUUCGCCAAAUCAGAGUGUCUCCUUUGUGUCAAUGAUUUGCUAAAUCUCAAGAUAUAUGUUCUUCGUUGUUCCACAGCUCAUAUAACCUGCAUAUGAUUCAGAUUCUUUCCUUUCUGGGACGUUUACCUCUGAUUCCUGUUGUACCACAUAACUGAAUAUGUUUUCUGAGGUUCGAAUUGCAUAGCUGGCAUUACAUGGUCCACCGAAAUUAUGAAGAUCGGUCCCUCCAAUGAUUUAGUUUCCUGUCUAGCAUCCCAUGUUCCUCCAUCCUAAACCAUUAUGAAUUCCAUUCUUUUUCUGAUAUGAUCACUCUCCCAUUCCCAUAACUCCUGAUGCAUGAAAUAUAUAUAUAUGUAUAUAUAUAUUUUUUGGGUUUUUUUUCCUUGUGUUGGGGGGGGGGGGUUGUGGUUCGGUUAAAGCCGGUUUCCAGCUUGCUUGGUCCUUUCAACAGAACCCAAUACUUCUAUCUUCUUCAGUCCUUCCUCGACUGAACUCAGUUCAAAAGACCGCAAGAGUACUUAUGUGUAUAUUAUUUAUUAGGCUGCACUUGAGUAGCAGGGCAAGCACAUUACAAUUGUCUCGUAUGGACAAUGCUGCCAUAACAAAUUAGAAAAACGAUUAGAAAAAGAAAUGGUCACCCCAUUUCCUUUUACCUUCUGCUAGAACUGGUUUCUCAAUAACCAGCUUCGUUCCUUGUAUUGGGAGUCGUCACUUGUUAGUGAUAGUCUGAUACUGAGCAUAGUGUUGUGCAAGAACGUACUGGCAAUGUAAUUACAUUACCAAAUUUGUCUGUAUGCCAUUGAGGUGGUACAAGCAGUUUUAAGUAUUUUUUAGUUAGAAUACUCACCAAUGACCAACUUGCAGGCAACCUGCUUUGCUUUAAGAUUCAUUCUCUUUUGCUUAAUCAGAAACCUGGGUUAGCAUGUGACAGAACAAUGCAAGUGGAGAACGUACCCCACUUCAAUCUCAUGUUAUGAAGCGGAGUGAUGUCAGACGCAAAACCAAGUUAUAAAAAGUUGCUUAUGAAGAGUUGUAUAGUAGGAUCACAUUGCCUUAACGGGUAUAUUUUCCCUUGGAGCACUCAGAAAGGCACAAACUGGCUUGUCUCACUAUCUUCUACUCUUAAAGUAGUUCAAGCAUAGCCUGUCGCUGCCCAGAAAUCAUUCCAACGUGUGUAAGGUCCCCAAAUUCAAGGAUCAAGUCAUUCCUCUUCUCAUUGGAUGUACCUGCAGCUACCUGUAAGUUGUUUGCAAUUUGCAAAUAAAGUCAUGAGUAAAUGUCUAUAAGAGCCAUUUCUUUAUAGUUUUAACAAGAAAAUCUGUUACCUUAUUUUGCAGAAGCUUGUUUUCUUCCCUCAGCAUCUUUUCCUGCAGGUAGAGAUGUGGAGGUAAGUAGGUUGACUGAUUUUUAAUAUGCUAUUAUAAUUGCAGUCAACUGUCUGUGUCCUUGAGUCCUCCACAAAUUCCGUUGUGAUGAAACUAGGCUAUAAUGGAUAAAUUGAUUCAAGCUACUUAUAUAGUUAUUGUUGCAAGUCCACAGAACAUUCAAAUGCUAGUACUAUAUAUAGUUGUAGAGAAGAAUUUCAGUGUUGCAAGAACUUUAUUUCUAAGUCUAAUCAUACAUCAGAAGAUGCGUAGCAGAUAUAUCUGUUAGGAACCUCUAUAUCUAAAUACACUAUAAAUAUAAUAUCAACCGCAGAUCCAGCCCAGUGGAAAAUUUUCCUUGACAUGAUGUUGAUUGACAUAUAACUGUAUCGGAGAAAGAUAAUCUUUCUCGUUUCAUAGAAUUUGAUGAGGAUUGAGAAUAUGCUAUCUACUUUUGAGGGCAUAUAUUCUUCAUACACAAAUUUCAGUAGUAAAAAUGGAAAUAGGAAAAAUGUUUCUAAAAAAGUGUAAGGCUGCAGAUUGCUUUGACAUACCACUUCACUUAGACUGGUUAUUGAUUCCAUCAGUAAUCGUGUCUGCACGAAAAUAUCACAUGAGGUAAAGUAAUAAGAAACCCGAAAUCAUGAAAACCAGAAGUUGUUAAGAAACAAAAGAUGAGAGUUACGGAAUCAACAGAAGUGUGCUUGAAUAGGGGAGGAACAUUGAAAAUUUGUCAGUCUCCUCCCAAAUGAUACAUGGCUUAUUCAUCCUCUUGCAGAACUUUCACCAUCUUACUUUUCUGGGCCUCUUUCUUUUUCCCGCUCUCUGUUAGUUGUUUGUCUGCUUCUCAUGUAUGUUAUAGUUACACCAUUAUAUUCAAAAGUCUGAUCUCAUUUUAGAUAACUAGUUUGUUAAUUGUACAGUAAAGAUAGAGGCAAGCUGAUUAACAAUUCAUGCACUCGAAGAUUCCAAUCUACUGAUCUCAGGAAAGAUGCAAGACAUGGUACUGUACCCAGAUAGAGAAAAUUGCUUUGUGGGCCUAAUUUUUGGAAACAACAAUAACCUUAUAACUCUCAUCAACCCACACUUGUCCAACCAUCUACACAUUAGCAUGUCUAGUAAACCAGUUUAGGAAUAUUAACCUUGAUGUAGCUGUCAUUCUAGCUCUUUUCGCGCCAUAACUAUCAUUAGUGUCACAACAAAUAUGGAACAAAGUACAUUAUUUUACUAUGAUGCGAAGAACCUUUUAUUUCUUAUUUGGUCAUUUACCUUUUUAAGGAUAAGGAUGUCCCAAGACACCUUUAUUCUACUAAAAGUCAAAGAAGAAAUCUUUCUGCUAUUAAAGUCAAAGAUAGUAAUUACCACAUCUCAUAGUGACUUUUUCUAGUUAUGCAGGCUUAAUCUCGAAAUACUUCAAUGUGCUAAAUACAAUUAUACAAAGUAGCCAUGUUAACUAAUCAUAAAAAUUAGAGACACGGAUCUAUGAAAUCCUUUUACUGAAACUAUGUAACAGUGGAAGUGGAAACACAGAUAUGAAAUCCUUUUACUGAAAAUAUCUGACAGUCGAAGUGGCAACACCAAUACAAAGAAUUAUUCUCUCUACUGUCAGAUUGCAGAUUUGCACGAGUUCUUUCAACACAUAGCUUACACAGUUACACCUAUUUUGAGAAAACUGGAGAAAAACAUACCUUCCUAGAUCUUGUUUGAAUGAGUGCAUCUUCAAGUUGUUCUUCCAAUUGCACUAGUUCACUCAGGUUAAGGUGGUCAACAUCUGGCUCCUCUAGAUCCCUGUUGGAAAACAGAGACAACAUUAGAUUCUAUAGUUGUCGAAGGAGAUGAGGUAUUAUGUCAGUGCCUUUCAACUUUUUCCAGCAGCUUUCUGAUUGUCACGACAUUUCUGCCUUCAGGGUUACGUUUCUGAAACAGAAAUGGAAAUACUAGUAAAUCAACUAGCAUAAAAAUAUGUCCACCCAAGCAGAAACUAGACUAUUUGGUAACACAAAGAUGGAAUUAUAUAAAGCAAUCAGCAUAUGAUCCGGAGGCUUCUACAUUCCAAAACAUUAUGCUAAAAACCACACUUAAGCUUGGCAAAUACUUAGACUCCUGAUUGACAUUAGUGAUUUAGUGGGCGGUUGAGUGAAACAAAUCCUUACAGCUUAUCUGUCCUACAAUUGUAGGUAAUAACUGAGAUAACUGCAAUGUAUGUUUAGUGCUUGUAAUUUCUUCUCCAAUGUUAUUAGGAGAUUUAGAUAGUGAAACAUGCUCUAUAAGCAGUUCAAUGCUGUUUUAGAUAGUGACAUAUGAGCCAUAAGCGGUUCAAUGCUAAAUCCAAGUAGUCGAAUGCUAAGAUGUCAUCAUUUCAUCACUUCCAAUAACUCCUUUUACUUGCUCUAACCUCAAUAAGCUACAAACUUACUGUUACCCUGCACCAGUGGUUGACAGGUCCAAAACAAGCCAACAUUAUGCUGCAAGUAUUUUAAGCUCCAUAAAGCACAUCACAAACUUACCUCUACGCCGCUAAUUCUUGCAGACCCGUCUUCUGCUUCUGCGUAGUUGCGAUAUCGUUGUAGGAUCUUGGCCAAACUGAAAAUAACAGCAACUUAGAUAUAGUAAUUGAAGUGUUAAGAGUGUAUAUGAGUUUAUAUGAGUAGCUGUUUCUGCUCCAAAGACAACGAAGAUACAUGACCGAGGUACAAUAGCAAGUGACUGAAGCCUAGUCCCUCAUUUAUAGAGAAAUGCUGUUUAGUAAUGCUCUAUGUUGGGAAAAAUAACUGUGCUUCUCCAAGUGACCUAUUCCAAUAUGCAAAUUAUAUCUUUUGUAGAAGGCAACAAGUACUCCAUCGGCACAAUCUUUAGUAAACAGAUAUCCACGGCUUAACAUGGAGUUGUUUAUUGUACCUAAUCUUAAAACGUCAAUGUGUUAUUUAUUUAUAUUGGAAUCAUGUAGGUCAUCCAAACUAACAUUUUAGUAUUCACUACUUAUUUUUUAAGAAUAUGUACUCAAUAUAGCAUUUGUCUUGAGUUUGAUGCAGGAGAAAGGACAGUUAUUUGUCUUACUACAUUCGCAAGAAAUAAGACAUUGUUGUGCAUAUAGCUUUUCUACUAGAGUAGCUAACCCAAAGAGUUCCUACAUUUGAAGAUUUUGUCUUCCCUUGAGCUUCUAUUUCAAAGACAAUUAGAUAGCCCUAUUCAGGAGCGCUACAGACCAAGCAAGCUAAGGAAGUUUAGUCUUAUUAGGUAUAUGCUAGCUCAAAAGAACCUUUGGAGAGGAAUAUUUAAGUAUGCAAAAAAAUACAGUAUUUUGAUGUUGGCAGAAGCUUAUGAAGGAUGAUGAUCUGGAUUUCUGAUAAAGAUUGGUUAGUGAGGAAUGACCAACAAAAACCUUGCAUACAGUUAUGUCUAACUCAGCUAAAAGAGGCAAUUCCAUUUAAACACAUCAACUAAACAUAAACCCAAAGUAGGAAGUUAUUUUAUUCUACAGUUAUGCCUAACCAAUACCCCAAUGUCCUCAACAUCUGUCUUGCUUAUCCUACUCCUGACUUCUGGAUUAUCUUUUUGAAGUCAAAAGGCAAGCUGCCCAGCUUUCUUCUGCAUAUUCCCCUAUUAGGCUACUGUCCCCAUUAGGGAUUUUCUCUUUGCUCUCUACAAACUAGGAACCCAUAAUAUUACUAUUUUGCCAAUGCAAUUUGUUAGAAGUUUGCAAAAUGGAUGAAAUAUGAGAAGAUGUGUGUAACAUUAAAUGACAGAUUCAAGAUAAAACGGUAUCAGCAUAUCCAAGAUGGAAAUAAGAAAACUCUACGGAAUUUAGUCAAGCAAAAGAAGAUCUUGUAGAUAGAUAAAAAUGAUGGGAUAGGUUGGUGUUGAUGAAAUCUGAUUUUGCAGGGUCAAAAAGCUCAAAUUACACUAUUAGAAAAUCUUCAGACUCCCCAAAGGAGCUCAAGGCCUAAUAUUUUGUAUUAUCAAAUUUUGAUGUCAUUUAGCUGAUUAUCAUCAAUACCCACAAGCGAAGCAACAAAAAGAGAAUUUUGAUUUUCACUCUGUAUCAUUUGCCUAAGCAUACUCCUAAUCUUGUGGAUUUUUCUCCUUGUUCUUAUCCUAGUACCCCAUUAAAUUGAGUUAUCAUUGUUUUUCACUUCAUCCUUCUUACAUCUCGUGAUAACACAUCCAAUAGUUAUUGUCCUAAACUAAGUUUCUUUACAUACUACACUUCUCUUUCUUUCUCAUAAGGACCAGGAAGAGAAUACCAGUAGAUUAGUAUUUACCAAUGUAUCUAUAAUACCAUAACAAGACACACAUAUUAUGUUUAACCUUUGACCUCAAGUUUCAUACACUAGCCUUAUUACUUUACUUGAGGUUAAUUAGACUCUGCGAAAAGUUGGUAAUCUCUUUAAAUUUUGAUUUUUGUGAUCUUCAUUGAUGUCUAGAGGAUUUUUUUAUAAUUCGGUUUAGCCAUUUUGUAAAUGAAUAUCAUGUAUUUGGUUUGCUUUAGAAAGGUUUCAAUCAAAUUAAGGUUUUUGAAAUAAAAAAUAGGGUGUGUUAUAAUGAAUUUUAACUUAUUCAUAUGCAAUCAAAACUUGAACUGACUACAUUUCCUAACAUAAAAUGUGUGUGUGUGUGUGUGUGUUUUUUUUAAUUUAUUUAUUUACGAAAGCUCAACUUCCAUUUAGUCCAUUUGAGAAGCUACACGCACAAUUUCCAAUCUUAGAGAUUCAAUAAUUAUUACAAUGUUAGUCAACAAUGAUGUUACAACUUAGUUUUAUACAAGUUAACGGAUAAUACUUUAGUCCCAGCAGAAGUUGUGUUCUAUGGUUCAUCUUAAGCUUCGUGCUGCUACUUGUGUGAACUUCAAAUUUAAUACUUUGGCUAAGAAGGGAAAAAGAAAUACUAAAUCUUCAUUUAGAGAUUAUCAGAUCCAAACUAAGUUGGCUCUCGGACAUGAAAAAAAUCUGAACAUUCUAGGAAACAAACUAGAAUUUCAACCAAAAAUCCUUAAAUAUUUUAGGGGAAAACAUUUAAUUUAACUAUCAUAAGGGUAUUUAUCUUAAAUAUUCUAAGGAAAAACAUUUAAUUUAACCAUCACAAGAGUAUUGGUUAAUGCAUUUUUGUACCCCAUACCAAGUGCAUAAAAUUAGCGUAUUUGUGCUUUCCCCCUUCCUCUUUCCCCUUCUUUGUAUCCCGAUUUUGCUUGAAGAGUAUGAAAGAAGUUAAUCCAAUAAGCUGAUUUGGUUUCAGCGACUUGUAGACUGUUAACAUCAAAAGAUUUUUAAUAAUUGAUGAUACUAAAAGUAUCUCAUUAGUUAAGUCAAAACUAAAAAAUUUGAAUUUGACCAUUAUUAUAUCUUCAAAUGCAAGGGAAAAUCAUCUAGGGAUAACAGAUCCUACAGAUUAUCCAAGCAUAAAUGUAUAUGAAGAUGUUCACUACAUGUUGGUGAAAUCCUCGUAGAUCUCUCCCAUUACAAUAUUGUAUCAAAAUGAUUGGACAGCUCAACUUCAUCAAAUAAAAACGUUAGUUGUAACUUAUAGAUAGUUUGAGAAAAGUUCUGAUGACCUUUACGGUUUAAUUAAUGAUGAUACUGAUAUUUUGCAUUCAAGAAGCUUUGAAGCAAUAACAAAUACCAUAUGAAGACCUUUCCAGCUAAGGUAGCUUCAUAAUUGGAAGUCUACAACUUAGUCAUGGUUCAAGUAUACUCCAAAUGUCAAAAGAUUAGCAAGUGCAACUGCACUACAACCUUCAUCAUGCUCAUCACCGUGACAUAAUCCAAUGCUGUCAAAGAAAUCUGAUAUGCCAAGUUGUAAGAAAAGAAUGAACAAGGACUAAGUCAAAUGCAUAGUCAACCACUCCAUCAAAGGCUUCCUUGGGCAACAACAUCAUUAACAAUACAAGAUUAAAUUUUAAUAGGUAGGCUCAAAUAUAAACAAUUGCAGGACAUAUAUAUCUUCAGGAUUCAUGAAUAAUGCAUUUCAAGAUAAUUGUAUACCAUAAGUAUUGCAAAAAAAAAAAUAAUGUGUAAAUUUAAUGCCUUGCAGAUAAUUUGGCAGUAAGCGUAGCUACUUAGUACAUUUUGUGCUGGUUAGUUCAUCUCAUUCCAACUACCAAAUGAAUAUUGUGCCAAGGCACAAAAAGAGGCAAGGUCAUAAUUUGAGGAGGAAAAAAACCAAAACUUAAGGUGUCAAAAUUGUGUUGUCUCUCACUACGUGAGCAUUGUUGAGAAAAGGAUAUUCUACAGCCAUUUGAGACCUAAACGUGUCUCUAAUAAGCAAACUCAUAAAAAAGUUUGUAUUUCUAGACAUUUUGUCAAUUUCAAACAUCAAGGUUGAUAAUAAAAAAUCACGGGUUUAUUUUAGCAUGUUAAAAAGGAAAAGCCCUAAGUUGGGGUUCUUGACUCAACAUAAAUUUUUAGUUAAUCAUGCACAUGGAAGCCUUAUGACAUGAGGAGCUCAUUAGUAGAUAUUGGAGAAUUUGAUGUCAAUUGUGCCUUGAAAUAGUGAGAAACAAUUAAGGAAGUGCAAAAACUUGAAAUAGUUAGAAGCAAUAGAGGAAGUGCAAAAACUUUGGAGAAUUUUGAUACUAUUGAUAUGAAUUUUCCUUGUUUUGAAGAAAAUUCUAGUCCAAGGAUGCGUUUGAUAUAAUUGAAAUCUGAAAUCUAAAAUCUGAAUAUGUCAAGUUAUUGAAUUGUUAAAUACUAAAUCUGAUAUAUUUGAGUGUAUAUCACAUUAAGUGAUAAGUGAAUAGUUUAUUACUUAUGUUGGAACAAGAUUUACAUAGAAAUUUCAGUGCCACUUAAUUAAAUCAAAUGUUCUUUUUUUGUCAUCAAUAUAUGUCUGAACAUGUUAAGAUCUGAACCCAUUAAAUUUAAACACUGAAUUGAAUUAUUAAACAGUGCUCAAGAUUCACAUGAUUUGGUUGAAAAAUUGUGAAUGGUGGUAGAUCUACUGUUUCUUUAGUUUAGAGCUAAUUGUAUCUAGUGAGAUUCACUUUCGAAUUGAGGUGGAAGAGGGAGUCACAAGUGCUACUGUAUCAAAAUUUGAUAGUUGAAUUGUGGUGCUCAAGCACUAGAAUAGGAGUUCUUGCAACCGCUAGGCAUGCUUAUAUGAAGAAAGUGAUUGAAACUCCAUAGCAAAGUCUAUUAAGGUUGAGGGUGCAAUUAACAAAAUGGUUACAAGUAUACACUUUUUUGUAAGUUCAUGUAAUACACUUAGUAGUUGAAGGCCCCUAGUAUAGAACCUUAAGUGGUCUCCAAUUUGCUCUAGUUUUGUUUUAUUCGAAAAAUGUGUUUAUUAGGACUAUCAAACAUAUAACAGAUUUUUUUCCGUAUAUUAAAAUUAGAACACAUCACAAUGAAUUAACUAAGAACUUGUUUAUUCUUUUUUUUUUUUUAUUUAAAUCUCUUCACACCAAUCCUCUUUUUUUUUUUUUGAAAACUUUUCAUGUGUUUGUUCCUCUUAAAAUAAUAUUAAUAUUAUGACUAGUCCUUGUGGAGAAAACCUUCCUUGAAAGGCCCCACUAGUUCUUAUAGCAUAAAUGUUGCUUCUUGUCAUGUUUGCAUCGAAUCAAAUCAAUGAGUUUGUUUGGACAAGCCAAAUUUGGUUUGUUUAAUUUGUUUUCACAAAUCUCAAUCACCUUUUUAUCUUCCCAAUCACCUUUUUAUCUCACAUACAUCACAUCACAAAAAGUGCUACAGUAAAUAUCUCAAAUAAAUCAUCCAAAUAAACUCUUAUCCAAACAAACUCAAUGUAUAAGUUGAGAGAUAUCUGAUGUAAUUUUUCAAAUGUCCUUGUAACCCAACCUUUAGUUAUAACAAAGCAUCAUAGAUUAACACAUUUAUAGGUUAGUUGAACUUAACCAAUACUAUCACAAAAUUUGCCUAAUUUUGAAUGAAAAUUCAAAUCUCAAGAUUUAAAGGGAUAUGCCACUUGAGCAAUGAUUUACCUACUUUAGUUCAAAGAAGCUUUUAGCACAAGUACUUAGAAAACAUCACACUUGAUUUAGAUGGACUUGUUGGGCUCGAACUUUUUGUUGAACCAGAGUUCCUUUUCUAAAAAGUCUGUCUUACAUCUACAGUAUAGGAUAAGAUAGAUUAGAUUAGGCCUCUUUAGGCACCCCUCCCUCUAGAAUAUGAUAGAUUAGGUUAUAAGAAUGUUAUCGUUGCAAAAAAAGAAAAAAAAAUAUAUCUGCAAGUACCUUUAGUCAAGCUCGGUCAAAACUUGACUCGAGCUUGAUCAACAUUGAGUUCGAGUCAAGUUUGAACCAACCAAGUCGAGCUCCAGCACAGAGAAAUUCAACUCGUUAGCUCACGAGCCGCUCAAUUUUAUAUAUAUAUAUAUAUAUAAUUUUUCAUUUUAAUAGUAAAAAUUAUAUAUAUAUUCCUAAUAUUUUAUUAUUUGUUAAGAAAAAUUUAUUAUUUUAUUUAUUUUUUAUAAAAUAAAAUAAUUAUUUUUAUUUUUUUAAGCUCUAGUAGGCUUGAACUCGAGUUCGACUCCACUCAAAUUUGUUGUCCAACUCACGCUUUAGCUUUACAAUUGAGAGUGUGUUGAGGUCGAAUUCGAGCUCGAGAUUGGUAAAAUGGAAUAGAGACUCGACUCGAUUAAGCCAAAAUCCGAUUUGAUUAGGAUAAAUCUCGACUCAAUUUGACUCUACUUAACUCGUUUGCAGUCCUAUUAAAAAUAAAGCAAAAACUUAACAUAGAAAAGAAAUAUUAGGCAAAUAAUCUAGACUUUCAUGCAUAAACAGCUUAGACGGCACAAACACAUCUAGUUGCAUUAAAUUUGGAUCUUUAUUUUAACUUUAGAUGUAGACAAAUGGUUGUGUUAACUACUUUUUGAUUGCAAUACCUGAAAUUAAAAAAUGAUGUUUAUAGAUAACUAUUUGAAUUGCUAUAUUUAUAUUCGCAUCUUCAAGUUUAAGAACCAACCUAAAUUGUUUUAUGAGUUGAUUUUCUUUCCCAAAAAAAAUAAUUUGACUAUACAAAUAUUACAAGACUUGUGUGAUUUUUUUUAUUGUCUUUAAACCUAUCCAAAAAAGUACGUUAAUACUCUAAUAAGGUAUUUAUACUUUUUUGCUUACCACUAAGGAAGUGGCCCUUAUGUAUGGCAUGAUUGUCCAAGAUACUUAUAUGCGAUCAAGGUGGUAUUCGUUCCCUCUACCUAUUAUUUCUCAAAUUUUUCCUUAUUUCCGAGAACCAUAAUAGACAUGUCAAGAAAAAACGUUAUUCUCUAUAAUAGUAGUUUUCAUUUGUUUGUAAGGGCACACAAUCAUGUUAUUCUCUAUCAUUAUUUUAUGCAUAUUCUUUGCUACAAAAUUAGAUGGAUAUGACUAUUUAACUCAUCAAAUAGCCAACGUAAUUAGGCAUCUUUUCUUCUACAAGUGAAAUGUAGCAUGUCAAAUAUUUUAUUAAUGAGCAAAUUGCGCAAAAUGUCACUAAACUAUUAAGUUGCAUCGAUUUUGAUCACUAAACUAAUUUGUUAGCCAAAAAUAUCACUGAACUAAUAAAUUUAUAACAUUUAGGUGAUUCUGUCUAAUAAUAUUGUUAAAGAGAGACGAAAACACACUUUUCAGGGGCAAUUUCAUCUGUACAGCUUUUUGUGUGUUAUAAAAGGAACAAUCGUGUGGAACUUCCAUAAAAAUGUCACCACCACCCUUUUGUGGCAAGGCGGAGGAGGAAGAAGAGGAGAAAGCUAUGACUGGUGGAAUUGUCUCGACUACCUACGUCCAAAACCACCUCGAAUGUAUCCCCUAUACUUAGAAUUAUACCCUCCAUUACCCCUCAUUGAACUCUUAGGUGAAAUUGUGGAGGCAGUGGCCGCUCAACCUAUCACCAUUGCUACCCCACCUAUCACCAUUGCAUAAGCCUUGUAUCCGUUUGCCGACUACGAUUCCUUGUAUGCAUAUUUGAACACAAUUAUCCUCAAAUAUUUGUCUACUUGUCCAAAGUAAGACCAAUUAAUCAGUCCAGCAACUAACUUCAAAUUCUUAAGUGAAUAAAUCAAUAUCAACUUCUAGUCACAAAAGUCCCCUGCCAGAAAGGUGGAAAGCUUUAAUCUUUAACUAUCCCUUGAAGUCAAACUUGAAGAUCAAGUUUAGAGAGUCAAAGAAUCAAGUUUGAGCUAAAUAGAUCCGGUAGACUGGGGAAUCAACAAGAGUUUAAUGCAGUAGUAGCAGCCACUACCCACUAUUCCUAUAAUAAAAAACAACCUCAAAUCAAAGCUAUCGCCAAUAAGGCUAACAAAAUACAUCCCAAUAGAGUAGACCAACAAGAAUGAAAGAUCCAACUCCCCCAAAUGGUGGGUUCCAUGUCGGCCAUUAAGCGGAGCCCAACCAGUGGCAUUUCCACUUGGGUUUAGGCUAGAUUGAAAUGGGUAGGAGUUAAAUUCCGCAGCCGCAGUGUGGAUUGUGGUGUUUGCAGUUUGGACUUCAAGGCCAAGUAUGCAUUUGACAAUACUUGGAGGUUUACAGGAGGUGUGGAAGGAAGACUAGGUGGUGAAGGUGAGAGAGGACUAGAAAUUGGUGGAAAGUUAGGGUCCUAUAUGGGGUUUGAGGUUAGGGAAGAAGGUAAAUCCCGAUGACCAUCGUGGUGGUGGAUCUAAGGUUUUAAGUUGUAUCAUCAUUUGAAAUUGAGAAAAUUUGGUCUAAGUUUGUCAAUUAAAAGUUCCACCCACCAUUGUUUCUUCUAUAGCACACAAAAAGCUAUGUAGAAGAAAUUGCCCCUAAAAAGUUUGUUUCCGUCUUUCUUAAUGGAAUAUUUAGACAGAAUAACUUAAAUGUCGCAAAUUUACUAGUUCAAUAACAUUUUUUGCUAACAAAUUAGUUUAGAGAUCAAAAGCGGUACAACCUAAUAGUUUGGUGACAUUUCGCCAAUGUGCUCUUUAUUAAUUGAAAUAUACAUAGGAUAUGUAUAAUGUAAGAUAUAGGUAUGAAUAAUUCAAUCCUUAUUAGCAUAUGAACAUCUAUCUCUUGAAAUUGAAAAGCCAAAUACAAUAAUUUGGUUCAAUACAAGUGGGAUUAUAACGUGACUCCAACUAUAAAAAACAAUAGAAUACUAUAUCCUAGUUCCUAGUUUGCAAUAGCAUUUUGAUUAUUUGAUUGAAGAUUUCAAACAAAAACAAUAACAAAAGAAAAGCACUAGAGACAUCGUCUUCAAUUUCAAUGACAUUUUUGUGUUUUUGGUCUUUAAACCUUUGUUGUACAAUCGAUUGCAUAUGGUAAAAGUUUAUAAGAACCCAAUGGAAACAUACCAUUUCCUGAUCUUUCAACAAAUAAAAUAUCCUUUUGUGCAUGGCAAAUUCAACCACUUGUAAUAAGAUUUCAAGAUUCCAUUCAUAAAUUUAGGGUGAUUGACUUUGAUCUAAAGUUUUCAUGAUGAUGAUUUUGAACUUCCUCUUUUGCCUUCAUAAAGACAACUAAUCAAAUUUAAGCGUUACUAAGGCAAUGCAAAGAAGUAUAAGAUCUCUUUUAGGAAGUUUGGAAAGGCUAAUCCAAUGCAAAAUAAGUGCAUUUUUUGGUCUCCCUAAGACAAAGGGUAAAGAAUUCUCAAGGGAAGUGUGCUAUGAGAAAACAAAAGAAUAAAAAUGCGGGUUCCCAUUUACCCUUCAAUGGCUUUAUCUCUAGAGAAGUGGAAGGUUCCUUUCCCAAGUUUUCUUGGUCAUUGAUAUGACUUGUUCUUCAUAAAGCUGAUCUAGUUCUGUGAAUGCUUGCCUCUACUAGAUGUGUGGAUUUAACUUUUUCCAUAAGAUAGUUCAAAAAGUCAUUUCAAGCUAAGUUGGCUAGUGAAAAAAUUCACCUGUUAUUGAACCAUCUUACUUUUGGAAAAUGACAACUAUUUGAGAUUGAGGUUGCUAAUUACUUUGUUCUAUGAUGUGAAAAGUUCUUCAUGUUUGCUUCAUGAACCAGUGUUGCCAAGGAUAUCAAUCAACAUGGAUGUAAGAGCUUUGGAAAUUUUUUUCUUUUGAGGAAGCAAAGGAUAUGCAUAUCGCUAAUCUACCAUAAAUCUCGAGACUUCUAAAUUUAGUUUGAUUUAGAAAGAGUGACUUAAACCAGUUCAUCAACCAUUGAUAGGUACUUUGAUCCAUGUUUGAAAAUCAGAAUUGGAAUUGGAAAGAUAUACAAUAUUUCAAUAUGGCUUUAGACCAAUUGUAUAUUAUUUGGUAACAUUUUCACUGGAAUGGGAUAUAAAAGAUAUUUUUUCUAUUUUUAACUAUUGUUUAGUUUCUACAUUUUCUUUCUCUAUUUGCUUUCUAUAUCAUGCAAUGACUAAGUCUUGGCACUGCUAAAUGUAGUUUGAUCAAAAGGAGCCACUUUUAAAAUCAUUUCUUGAACUACAGAGGGACAGUUUGAUUCAUGUUCAAAACUUGGAAUCGCAAUUGGAAUCAUAUACAAGGUUCCAUUUCGAGUUUAAACACGAGUAAAAUUCCUACAAGUACUGUUUCAUAAAAUUUUGGUUGGGAUAGGAAUUAAAAGAUAUUUUCCUUUCUGCAUUAGUUAACAUGCAUUCGCAAUUGCACCACCACCGGUGGCAUCUCAACCUUACAACCGCCACUAAUUCACCUCUAAAUUGAAAAAUCCAUAUGGGAAAUAACACUCAGUAACCUUCUAAAGUUAAUUUGAAUUCCUGAAAAUCACUAGAAUAACCAAAAGGGGGGUCUUUAAGGGCAAACUAUCGUUAUUUCUCUUUUUACUAACUCUUGAGAGCCAUUAAGAAGUAGCGAAUCCUCAAAUCAUGAAUGGGCAAGGAAUUACCACAUAAAUUCUUUCCAAUGACCAUGAGUUUUUUUUUUUCAAUAGGUGAUUUAAUUGUUCCAAAAUAAGGCGAUAGAGAAGAUGUAGGGGCUAUUGGCAUGGGAAGAGAGACCUGAGAAGGAUGAGCUAAAGAAAGAGAAGUUCAGGGACAAAAAGGAAAGAGAUGAGUACUAGGGGAAAAAUAGAGAGAGAGAGAGAGAGAGAGCAAUUUUAUUUUUUAGUAUCACUCAAAAUUAAAUAUGAUAAUUAGCCAAAUCCUCCCAAUUGGUCAGGAUUGAGGAUUUCUAAAUUUUAAGAUAUGAUUUCGACACAUUGGAAUCCACACCAUUUGACACCCAAAAACCCUCUUACCAAAUGCCUCCUAAAUUGUCUCCCUCUCCACCUAGGCAAAUUGAGUAACUUCAUUUGCUCAUGCAGACAAUCCAUAUCAAACCACUUCACAUGAAUCGGGAUAUGAAAAUCACUUAUGAUGUUGAAUUCAAAAGUCCCAUUCCCCAGCUUCGUAAACUAUGGAUUAAGAAUAUGGGGUUUAUGAGAAUUGCUAACUAUAUGAUUACCAAGUGUCAUAUUCUCCACUUUCUAAAAUACAAAAUACUAGGAUACUCCACAAGUUGGGAUAAACUUUUGUACGUUAUGUGUCAGUUGAUGCUGCUAAAUAAGGCAUUGUAACAAACAAAAGAAAUCAAAUGAUUCAAAAGAAACAUGCUAUAUUGGCAUGCUCUCACCAUGAUGGCGUUAUUCAUUGGUGCUCAAUAGUGUUAAUGUGGCUAAGAAGAAUUCUUAGACUGUAAAUGAUAACUAAGGUUCACAAAUGCCUUAUCCCCAGUCAAACCAUCCAACAAAUCAAUCCAUCUCACACCAGCAUGCACACGAGUAAUUUAGGUUCGGGUCCAUUUAGCACAUUCAACUGAAAAUGAAUUCUGCCAAAGCUCAGCAUGGCAAGGUGGUAAGCAUUGCGUUUGAGGAAAACUCUUUGCCAUUUGGUUGUCCUAUGCGAGAUAGGCGAGGCUGAAUGGUUAAGAUGGUACAUCAGGCCAAGACACAUCCAAAUGAGCAGUACCCCUAACUUGAAAUGGGAAACACGUGACAAGUGUCACAUGCGAAAUCAAUCCUUUUAUCUUACACCAAAGCCAUCCAUCCGGACCACUAAUGCUGUAAUGCAGGAUGGAACACCACGUGGGACAAGUUUGACUUGGGUUGAACAUCCUAUUUAAUUAAUGCGUAAUGACAGACUGUAUCGCACGCAGUGAAGCUUUAUCUUUUCCCAACAUAAUAUGAGUAAUCAGGCAAGUAGUGAAACAAGAUAAAGGCAGCAGCUACUUUUUGCCAACAGCCUACGCGUAAGCAGUAUUCACAAGAAAGACAGCAGGCAGUUCGUGCCCCUUUCCCAUUUUGUUGCCCAUACCAGGAAACCAGUAGUUAACCAUAAAUAGAAAGCAUGAUGUAUGCGAAAAAGAAAAAAGAAAAGACGACACGUACUCUCUUUCUGCGGCAUCUCUAUACCAUCCCUGCACAAUGAUCCCCUAACCAAUAAAAGAGACGCCUUUUCAUAGUUUCUGGAGUUCUAAUAGUGGUUUUUGUUUUUUCUUUUGCGGCUUUUUCUCUCCCCCCCCCCCCCCCUCUCCAACAAACAGAAAUUAUAUCGCACAUGAUUUUUUUAUUUUUGGUUUUAAAAAUAAAAAUCGUAACUAGGACCAAGUCCUCAGGUGAUAACCGUAGCAAUAAAACAUCACGCAAUAGUGAUUGAUUGAACUUUGAAGGAAACAAACGUUGCAAUAAAAUUACAUUUUCAAAACCCAGGCCGACUAACACAAAUUUAAAGAAAAAUAAACUGCGGGAGAGAAAGCACUGGAACGAAUAAUAAGAGACGAAACAAGAUCUGGACACAAGACAAGGAAGGUCGGUUAGGAGAAAAACAUGCAUAUUGUGUGAGGUGGAGGGUGGAGAAAAGGGAGAGAAAGGGAACCUGUUGGUGCUGCAGAAGUCGUAGAGCUUGCCGCGACCAGAGAAGAUGAGGACAGCAACAUCCACGUCGCAGAGAACGGAAAGUUCCUUGGCUUUCUUCAUCAGUCCGCUUCUCCGCUUGGAAAACGUGACUUGCCUGCUGUUCUUGUCCUCGAUUUUCUUAAUCUCCACCUUCCUCCGCCCCAUCCUUAAUUCCUUCGUCGGUACCCCGCUCCCCCCAAAAAGAAAAAAAAAAAGGUACGAACUGGGAGAUAAGAAAAAACAGAUCGUUGGUUCUGGUUUUUGCCCUAAUUCUCCGAGAUUCGGAAUUUGAACCUGUAUUCGUUUCUACCUAGCUGUGAGUGAGUGGUAUAUGUACAGAGGAGAAGGAAUGAGAAUUUCAUAAAGACGGCAGUCGAAGGAUUCCUACGCCAGAAUUAUUAUUUUACUGUAGGGCCUGGGGAUCCAGUUAUCGCUGAGAGCCACAUAUCACAUAUCAUACUACCAUAUUACGGUAUACGCAGUUACGCACAUAUAUAUGUAUCUCCUCCCCGUCUCUCCAUCAUAUUUAUGCAAACGCCGUAGCUCGGACGGUCAAAUUGGUGCCCGUUAUUCAAUUUUUUUUUAAGUAAAUUACUUUUUACCCCUCCAUAUUUUGAUGUUUCAUCGCGUAUCUCUUUCUAGUUUAAAAACUUAUAUAUAACCCCUUCAUGAUUUGGAUUGAAAUGUCACCAUUAGUUUUUUUUGUUAAAAUUUAACGGCUAAUAGUAAAAAAGUCAAAAUUAAACUAAUAAUUUGAUAAAUUCAUCCUUUUACUGCCUUUUCUCUUUUUUCAUUUUUCCUUUUCUUUCUCUAAAUGAUUUUGAAAACCUAUACUUUGGUCUAAAAAAUCUGAAUUUUGUUCAAAUAAAAAGGAGAUGGAAGGGGAAUUAAAAAAUAAAUAACAAACCAAAAAAGAGAUAGAAGGAGACUACAAAACAAAUAAAUAAGAAACAAAAAAUUCCAAAUCUUUCUUGACUAUUAUUAUCAUUACAGGUUCUUAAACAAAAUUUUUAAUGGUAUUUUUUUAGUUCUUAUUUAUCUAUUUUUAUUUCAAUUUCUUCUUGUGUAUAUUUGGAGGGAAAAAAAGAUAUAAUGAAUGACUAAAUUUGUCAAUUUAUUAGUUGAUUUUGACUUUUUACUACUGACUAUUAGUUUCAACCAAAAAAAAAGCUAGCAGUGUUAUUUUAAUACAAAGCACGAGAGAGUUAUAUAUAUAUAUAUAUAUAUAUAUAUUUAACUCAUAAGAGCGUUAUGUGAUGAAGUAGUAUAGAGUAAAAGUUAGUUUAUCCCAAAAAAUAGUUACUGCUAUCCUGUUACUAGUUGCUAGAGUACUAUUUCCCCUCUCCCAUUUUGAUAGUUCUAGUUCUUUUUUCAUACAGUUUAAGAAAAAGUAAUUAGUUAUGUUGAAAAAAUAAAUUUAAAUUGUUAUAUUUCUAAAAUACCCUUACAUUAAAUAAAGUAUUACUUUAUAUUAAUUAUUCAUAGAAACUUGAAUUGAUGGUUUAUGAGAAUUUCAAUUGAUGGUAAAGAAAGAAUAAAUCCUUAUUUUACAUUAAAUGGGAUAGGUUAUAUUCAAUAAUAAUUUAUAUUAAAUAAGGUAAUUUAUACUAAUAACAAUCUAAAUUGAAUAAGAAUAUUUUAGAAAAAUUUAAAAAUAAUUAUAUUUUUAAUUAAAAAAUAGACUAUAAUUUAGAAAGACGAAAAAAAAAAAUAGGACUGCCAAAAGCGGACGGAGGGAGUAGAACAAAUACCUGUGGACUUCCUCCGAAUGGGUGUUUUGCCACGUGGAGUGUGAUCUGUAAACAAAGGGAUGGCGGCUGUUGGUAGUGGACGAGUGCUGACGCUGCCUGGAACCGGUGUCAAUCCAGUCCAACGUAGGUCACCGGUCACCAUAUUCCUGGACUAUAACCCGUCUGUGCCCGCUCAACGAUGCUGAUGCUUUGUGUUUAUUAAUAAAUCACUUCCAAAUCAUGGAUUACGGAUCUAUUGCCAAUCAUAAGAAAACUUCCUGCCGCUCUUGUCUUCUUUUUUUUUUCCCUUUUUUGCCCUUUUUGAGUAUAUGUGCCUUGGAAUCUGUCAAUGCCCUUCCCCACCAAAAAAGUUAUUUUUACUUGCUUAAUUCAAGCCUGAUGAUCUUAAUCACCACAAAUUACACCACCAAAAGAGUUUGUUUAAGCCUAAUGAUCAUAAUCCCUAUGAAGUACACCCCCUCUAAUUGUCGGAGACAACUAUACCUCAUACUGGAUUUAUUUAUUUAUUUAUUUUUGGUCAAGGGGAAACUCCGAGCAUUAGGCAAGAACUCAAUGUGGUUGGGUUUCCGUCCGAUUAUUUUAUAUGUUUAAAUUUUUGUGUAAAAAUAUAUUACAAUGUAGUAUUGAAAAUCUAUGUCAGUUUUUUUAUUCAUGUACAACUUUUUACUCUAAAAAUAAGAAUGUAAUGUAAUUGUAUCUCAAGUAAUGUAAAAAGUACAACAACUGAAUAGAAUUGCACAAAACCCCAACUGUAUUGAGGGUGUGUUUGAUAAAAUUGAAAUGUGAAAAUUGAAAUCUGAAUCUGUUAAAUUGUUGAAUUGUUAAAUAUUAAAUUUAAUACAUUUGAAUGUAUAUCACAUUAAAUUAUAAAUGAAUAGUUUAUGACUUUUUAGGAUUAAUUUUGUCUAAGAAAUUUAGUGGCACUUAAUUACUUAAUUAAAUCAAAUGUUCUACUUUUGAUUAUCAAACGCAUCUAAACAUGUUAAAAUUUGAAUCGACUAAAUUUAAGUGUUGAAUUGAAUUAUCAAACGAGAUCUGAAUCCUCUUCCUCAAGCCUUAGGAAAGAGAAUGAGAAGAUGGGAAGGCUCCAAUGUUGAAUGAGGAUCUCACGUUUAGGGUUGUCAUUGGAAUUGAGUUAUAGCCCAUGCUUGACCUAUUUGGUCUUUAAAAAAAAAAAAAAAAAGAGCUAUUGAGCCUUAUAUUUAAUAGGGCCAAACAAAGUUUGGACUUGAAUAUGUGAUUCGAAUUAAAUAUAAGUUGAAUUUAAAAUUUGCUUGGCUCAAGUCCAAUUAAGAAUCAACCCAUGUGUAAGUAUAAUUAUAUAAAUAUCCUUAUACUAUAUAAGAAUGAGUUUGGGUCAAAGAAUGGCUUUGAAUUUCAACCGCAAGAGUAGGGGUAUUUUGGGAUUGGGAGGUUGUUUUGAGUGUAGUUAUAGUAUUGGGUACUACUUUAGAUAGCAUGUGUAUUAUUGUGUUUACUGAAAUGUCCUUGUAUUCUAAAAGAUGCAGUGAUGAUUUGUUCAAAGGUUUGGGUAGUUUGGGAAUGUGAGAUUAUUUGAUCAUCUUUUCUACAAUGGGUACAACCCAUAAUAGCUUCUUUAUUGGUGUAAUUACUUAAAUGUCCUUGCAGAGACAUUCAUUUUGGUUUGUAUCAAUUAUUACUGUUACUUUGCUAUUAUAACUUGAAAAACUUCAAACGUCAUUUUCAUCUCAAUUAAAGCAAGGACAAGGUGGUUUAUUAAGGAAUUUAUGAUUGAGCUUUAGUUUCAACUUCAAUUCUUCAAAUGUCUGCCCCUUCACAUUCUUCCGUUAUGUUCCUUUCGUCUUCCGAUAAAUACUUAUUUGUAUUGCCAUUGUACUCUGGAUUUCAAUAUGGUUCUCUGGUGAAGUUAUUCUUGGUGGUUCAACUUGAGGUGAGGUUUCAUUCUUUUUUUUAAUGGUAUGAUUUGCUUUGUAAAAUCGUAAUUUCUAUUGUUAGCUAAAUGCUUUCAUUCCAAAAUUGGAUACUCUGUUAGCGCAAUUUAAUGUUGAUAUUAUUGUUUCCCCACAAAGUUGGUUGUUCUAUACAAUGUAAAUGAUGUGAUUUUGUUGGAAUAGGUUUAGAAAUACAAAACUUCCUCUUUUGGUCUACUUACACGGUGGAGGCUUUUUGAUCAAAUCUGCCUUCUCUCUUACAUAUCACGCGCACCUUAAUGUAGUAGUUACAGAAGCUGGUGUUGUAGCAGUUUCAAUUAACUAUCGGCUCGCCCCUAAGCAUCCUUUGCCUAUUGCUUAUGAAGAUUCUUAGAUUGCAGUCAAAUGGGUUGCCCCUCGUUCAAAUGGCGAGGGUCCUGAGGUAUGGCGUAUGGAUUAUGCUAGCUUUGAUAGGGUGUUUUUUGGUGGGGAUAGUGCUGGUGGCAAUUUAGCACAUAACAUGGCAUCCAGGGUUUGGCUGGAGAUACUAGACGGCUUCGAUCUUGAUGUGAUUUUUCUCAAUUGUCCUUAUUUUUGGGGGAAAGAUCUAAUUAGUAUUGAGUUAAUGAAAUUACAGGUAAAGGCCUAUGUUAAGGGCAUUUGGCAUUAUGUUCACCCAAAAUCUACGGGGGUUGAUGAUCCAUUGCUGAAUUCUCGGAUGGAACCAAACCGUUUGAGGCUAGGCUUUGUCGUUGCUAAAAAAGUUGGCUACUUUCAUCAACAAGAAUGUUGUGUAGAUGCAUUUUUAAGUGGAUAAUCACUUUGUUGAUUGCCAUUAAUCAUUUGGGUAUUUGUUUAAAGUUCAUUUAGUCUUGUUAAUGAAAAGCUCAUAUACAAGUGUUUGUUUCAAAAUAUAUGAACUGAGCAAAAUAGUAUGCAUAAUUUUGAACUGAACUGAUGUUGGAGAAUUGAUUUUGCAUAUAUGAGUUCGCUUGAACUACCGUAAAAUCUUCUUUAACCACAGGCACCAAACACCCGCGCGAUGCGCGGGCAUUUCCCUCCUAGUAAUAUAUAAUAAGAGUAAAUCUUAUAUACACUGACAGGGUAUACACUAUCACCGUUUGAUUCAUGACAUGUGUGCAAAAAAUGAAUUUCAAAUUCAAAUUUUGCAUAGUUAUCAUUCAUCUAAUGUUGAUAGUGUAUACAAUGUUAGUGUAUGAAAGAUUAAUCCAUAUAAUAAUAUAUAUAAUCUAUAAUUAUAAAUUAUAAUAUAAAUAUUAAUAAUCUAUAUACAAUUUUUUAAUCAUUCAUAAAUAUUAUAUAUAAUUAUGUACUUGAUUUAGAUUUUGGGUUCAACUCAAUUUGAAUCCAAAGAUCAUGUUAAAAUGUAAAUUAAGUCUGAACCUUCUAAUAUAGGCCUGAACUAGAAAGCUCCAUUUAUUUUAUGAGCCAAGUUUGGAUUUUGUCAAAACCAUGAACACCAAUUGACAACCCUGCUCAUGUUUACGUGAUUAAUGUUCAUAUUAGUUAAAUUGGGACUUGAAAACUCUUUUAGGUUUAUUGUUCAUUUUAGUAUGACUUUCAAUAAUUUUUAAUCCUCAUUCAUGUGUCAAUAUGCAAGAAGCGAGAAGAAAAAUCUUAUUACGAUAUUAUUAAAAUAAACUUCUUAAUUUUCAUUAUGUAAUAAUGCACACGUCGGAUACACUACACACGAGUUUACACUAGCCACUAGCUUUAAUAAUCUAAACAAAAACACCACAUUCACAUUAAAAAAAACCCCAAAUCUAUGUAACCUUCCUUUGUUAACUGGUCCAAAAUUUUUUUUUUUUUUAUUAACUCUGAGAUUCAAUUAAUUUUUGAGAUUCAACAAAUAUUAGCUUAAGCUAAUAUUGAAAUCGGCCUUAAAAGUGGCCCAAACAUUUGCAUUGGAAAUAAAUGCAUAAUGCUCAAUGCAGAUUGUAGCCAAAACUAACGUAGUGAAAAGUGGAAUUAGGAGUUCCCGCUGGAGGUAUGUCCCUUCACCCAUCGGUAAGAAAAACGAUCCUUAAUCAUCGGUAAGAUCUAAUAUUUAUCUGUGUCGCUGAGCGGGCGAGUUAGUUGCGAAGUACAAGUGGCCACGGUGCUUUGGACUAUGGCCUUGAGGCCGGGUGCUGAGGCAGCGAGCUGAAUUUUCACCUUGGUGACUCACUGUUGCUUUUUAACUUCUGACAUCUACCGUGCACUUGUCGGUCAAAAGUGUUGAGCCCAAGACAUCUGUCCAUAUUCAUUUUAUCCCUCUUCAACCACGUAUGUGUUUCAUAAGUCAUCCACGGAUCAUUCAUGCCAAUGAGAAAGAAAUUAGGUAGCUUUUGUUAUUUAGUCUUGCAUUGCUCAAAUUGAGGCACACUACUAUGAUGUUAAAGCAUAAAUGCAAUAUAGAUUAAUUUUUCCUACAUUGAUAGAAUAUAUAUUAUUAUUUUGGGUAAAAAAUCUAAUAUACAGAAAAAACUCCCGUAGUUUCAAAAUAUACAACAUGACACUUCGUACUUUGAACUAAAUUGUAAAUGUGACAGAAUCCGUUAAAUUUAACGAAAAUGUAUGAAAUGACCAGAAUGCCCUGAUAUAAUUAAGCAAAAGACAGGUCAAAUAAAUCAUUUGUUUUAUUCUCUAUAUAGAGAGUAUUGAGAGUUAAGGGGUAGAAUAGGUAUAUUUGUUAAAAAUUAGGUAUAAAUUUUUUUUUUAGAUUCCAAUAAGUCAUUUCCGUUAAGUUUAACGGAUUCCGUCAACUUUACAAUUUAGUUCAAAGUACGAAGUGUCGUAUUGUAUAUUUUGAAACUAUAGGGGGUUUUUCUGUAUAUUAGGUUUACCACAGGGGAUUUUUUGUAGUUUACCCUAUUAGUUUUAGAUAACUAAUAAUUAUGUAAAAUUUGAAUUUGAAAUCAAACUUAUUCACAUAUAUCAUAGAUAUAUAUAAGAUUUAAUGCAAUAUUUUGUUCCGUAGUGUGAUUUAUACUUGCUUGGACUCCAGGGAGACUACGAGUAUAGUCGACAACUCUCUAAUAGUACUACUCUAAAAGGAAUCGACAUGAGGGAUUAAGGGUGUGAUACAUUGUUUUUAUUGAUAAUGUUAUGAUUUUAAAAAAAGGAGAAAUUAGAGUUUUGAUCCCUAAUAUUUAGUUUGUGUCUCAAACUAACCUUCAAUAUUUCGACAAAACAAAUCUAGUCCCAAAAGUAAUGGAAAAUAUAGUCUCAAACUAACCUUCAAUAUUUAGUUUGUGAUUUUAGGCUCUUUUUUAGACAACUAAUGGAAAAUAAUCAUAACCAAUGAUCAAGAUCAAAUUGGCAACAGUCAAAUGUAUUAAAUUUGCAUCUCUAAUCCCUAAUAUUUCAAAUUUCGAUCAUUAUAGUCUUUUGGGUUUUAAAUAGUUACAACUAGGGCUUUUAGAAUGAAAUAAUACAUGAAUUGAAUUAAAUAUACAAUAAAUACGAUCCUAAGUUUUUUUAAAACUUCAUAAAACACUUUAUAUUGGUACAAUAUGAUUGCAACCUAAAUAGCAUAUCUUUGUUAAAUAAGUUAUUAUUGGAUGAUAAUAUACCUAUAAUAAAUAAAACAUAAAGUAGUAGAAGAACAAAAGAAUUAUAGUUUUAAAGUUUAAGUUUAUUAUAGUUACUAUUACCAAAAUUGUUCCAUGUCUUAUGCAUAUGGAUUUCAAAUUCUUAUAGUUAGUCAUUGUAUUUAUAAAAACUAGUGAAGGUAAUUAUCAAUGUGAAGUAUUUUUACAAAUUCUUAAGAAAACUAUCUUCUAUUUUGUUUUUGUUGUCUUUCAUUUGAAUUAAAAUCUACGUUCCAAUUUGGUAGUUUUAAAACACUUAUUUUUAAUAUCUACGUACAUUAGUUAUCAUUUAGUGAUUCAUAUAAUGUGUACCAAUGCCAAUUUCAUUUCAAACUUUAUUGAUAACAUAUUAAAAUGCCAAAAAAAGGACUAACAUAAUUUACAAAAAGUAUAUAGUCCGCAUAUUUUAAAGGGAUACUUAUUAAGUUUUUAAAUUAUUAUUAGAAAUAAAAUAAUAAAACUCAUUAUCAAUUAAUUGUUAAUAGAGAGAAAUAAUAAUAUGUCGUAUAUACUUUUUUGGGUUUUAAAUAGUUACAACUAGGGAUUUUAGGAUGAAAUAAUAUAUGAAUUGAAUUAAAUAUAUGACAAAUAUAAUCCUAAGUCUUUAUAAAACUUCAUAAAACACUUUAUAUUGGCACGGUAUGAUUGCCACAUAAAUAGAAUAUCUUUGUUAAAUAAGUUAUUAUUUGAUGAUAAUAUAUAAAUAAUAAAUAAAACAUAAAGUAGUCGAGGAACGGAAGAAUUCUAGUUUUAAAGUUUAAGUUUAUUAUAGUUACAAUUACAAAAAUUGUUGCAUAUCUUAUGCACAUAGGUUUCAAAUUCUUAUAGUUAGUUGUUGUAUUUAUAAAAACUAAUGAAGGUAAGUAUCAAUGUGAAGUAGUUUUACAAAUUCUUAAGAAAACUAUCUUUUAUUUUCUGUUGUCUUUCCUUUGAAUUAAAAUCUAAUGUUCCAAUUUGGCAGUUUUAAAGCAUUUAUUUUAAUAUCUACGUACAUUGAUUAUCAUUUAGUGAUUCAUGCAUAUAAUGUGUACCAAUGCCAAUUUCAUUUCAAACUCAAUUGAUAACAUAUUAAAAUGCCGAAAAAAAGGACCAACAUAAUUUUCAAAAAGUAUGUAGUCUAUAUAUUUUAAAGGGAUUCUUAAUUAAGUUUUUAAAUUAUUAUUAGAAAUAAAAAUAAUAAAACUCAUUAUUAAUUAAUUGUUAAUAGAGAGAAAUAAUAAUAUGCAUGUAUUCUACCAAAUUUGAGACUAAUUGUGUUAAAGAAAAGAAACACAUGAUAUAUUAUUAGCAUGAAAAAAUGAAAAAAAUAAAAAAAGAUAGAGAAAUUUGAUUAGAAUAAUUAUUACCCAUUUAAUACUGUUUCAUUCUAACUUGCAUCUCAACUUAAGCUAAAAUCCUUAAUGUCACUAUUUAAAAAUUAGUGUGAUAUAAUUAUUCAAAAUCAAAAUAUUAGGGACCAAAAGUACAAAGUCAAAAUUGUUGACUAAUAGCAAUUUGAUUUUGACAGCUAGUCAUUGUUUUAUUUUUGUUGAUUGUCCUAAAUCUCUCUAAAAUUACAAAAUUUGAAGACUAGAUUUGUUUUGAUUGAAUUAUUGAGUACCAAUUUAGCUCAGAAGCCAAAUAUCGGAGGAUCAAAACUACAUCUCUCCUUUUAAAAAAUUAAAAGAAGAUGAAUUUCUUAUUCACUUUGAUUGUUUUGAUAAUAUAUUUGACUUAAUUUAUCCAUGAUUAAGUUACAAGAAUUAUCAUGUAGUCGUUGGUCAAAGUAAACAUGUCAUUCUGUUAUUUUGAACGAUGCAAUAAGUGCAUUGACAUAGAUACACGGGAUCUAUCUAACGAUUAAGAUAGGUGAAAAAAAAUUCAGUAGUAUUAAAAGGAAAAAAAGAAGUUCACAAGAUCCGACAGGACGAUGACCAUGGAGCUUAUAAAAUCGUGAAGCCUCAUUUUUUUUUUUGAAAAUUACUAGGCAAUUGAGAGGUUCUUUGAUUUGAUUCUUAAACUCCCCCGCUUCCCCUCUCCUCUAUGAGAUUUAGAAUUUCCUUUAAAACAAUAAUCAAAUAGGUAUUAAUCUUUUAUACACCAACAAUAUAUACACGUCAUUAUCAUUGGAUGCAUGAUAACAAAUUGAAUUUCAAAAUUUGUUUAUGUGUUAUAUAUUCAAUCGUGAUAGUGUAUAUAUUAUCAGAUAUACGUAAAAUUUAUUCAUAAAACAAAAUCCAAAAAACAUGACGUCGUGGAAGAAGUAUAUAUGUUCAAUUAUAAUUCUUUUGUACUAUCACAUUAGAUGUAUAAAAUUAUUUUUUUCAUUGCAAACGGAAAAAAGAAAAAAAAAGAAAGAGAGAUAGUACUAUUAUGUUUUAGUUCUGUAAAUUAAAACGUACUUAAUGUCUUUCUAUUUACGCCUUACGCCUUACCAUCAUGCUCCGCUUUCCCGUAACCGAGGAACACCGGAAUCCAAUUCGCUGCGGACGGACAAAAGAGACGGUACGUUGGAAUAAAUCGAGUUACCAAAUUGACAGGUUUUCGUUGGCUUAUUCGAAAAGGCACUUUAUUAAAAUUUUGAUUCCCUUUUCUCUCGUCUUACAGAUACAAUACAAAAAGGAUAACUGCGUCGAAAGUGUAAAGUCUGCAGUACCAAAACAAAUGAAAGAGCCGAAAAUUCACCCCUUCGACUGAUUAAAAUGGCACGGAGAAAGUUAGAUAUUUGCUCAACAAUAGAUAAUUGUUGCCCCAUUACUCAAUGUUCUUUCCCUUUCUGACCCAUUUUGCCCUUGGAGUCGUUGUCACUUUUGUUUCUGGGAUAAGAUCGACCUAUAUAUCUGAACUUGAAUUAAACACAUGAUAGAACGGUAGAUUAGAAAAAUUGUUUUUUUUUUGGUCAAUAAAAGAAGAAAAAGAAAAGUGUGAGGCAACUACGGAAAAUGUUAAUGAGACCCCUAUUAUCCUAUUUUUCGUUGCAAACUUAGGGCAUGUUUGGAACCCAAGUUUUUUUGCUAGUUUGUUUGCUAUUAGUUUUUUAACAACUUUAGCUACAGGAAUUCAAAAAAACUUAUCAAAUUUUUUAAUCUACACACUUCAAAAAUAUCUAAUACACAAAAAACUCUCUCUUUUCUUCUUCUUUGUCCCCUACCCCAAUCCACCAUACCUUCAUCGCUGGCCACUACCUCCGCCGCCGCUUCCGGCGUUGGCGUUCCCUUUUUUUUUUUUCCUUCCUUUCUCCCUCUCUCUCUCCUUCCCUUCCCUCUCCCCCUCUUCUCCCCCUCUCCUACCUGGACACCCUCCCCCUCCCCUCCCACGAGCAGAUUGCCACCCUCCCCCUUCCCACGACCAGAUCGCAUCCCCUCUCCCCUCCCUAGCCACCCUCUGGUCAUGCGACCAGAUUGGGCAAAGGGGGAGAGGGAGAUGGAGAAGAGGGGGAGAGAAAAAGCAAAAAAAAAAAAAAAAUUGAAAAGGGCUUGGGUGCUGGUUCUUUGGCUUCGGGAGGGUGAAGGGAAGUAGAGAGGGAGAGGGGAGCAGAGAGGGAGAAGAGGGGAAGAGAAAAAGGAAAAAAAAAAUUGGGCGUGCAGGCUGUUGCUUCUUGUGGGAGACAGAGGUGGGCGGGGGUAGGAAGAGGGAGGGGGAAGAAAGAAGAAGAAGAAGAGAGGAAAGAAAAAGAAAAAGGAAAGAAAGAGAAAAAGAAAGAAAAGAAAAAAAAUGGGUAGGGCCAUGGCUGCUGGGAAAGCAAAGGUAAUGGGGGAAGGAAGGGGAAGGGGAAUGGGGAAGGAAGAAGAAGAAGAAGAUAGGAAAGAAAAGAAAAAGGAAAGAAAGAGAAAGAGAAAAAAAAAGGAAAAAAAAAGUUUUUCAUUUUAAAAAAUUUUUCCAAAAAUUUUUUAACACUCUAGUGGUUGGACUUUUACGGCUCCAAUUAAAGACCUAUGUUGGACUACACUAUGUUGGACUUUUACGGCUCCAAUUAAAGACCUAUGUUGGACUAUGUUGGAAUUUUACGGCUUUAAUUAAAGUCUUACGUGAUUAAUCAAAUGUUAAUCAGAUGUUCUACAAACUUUAUUACAAAAAUUCCUUUUAUUUUUAUAUUUUUCUUGUUCUUCUAAUUUUUGUUUUUCUAUUGAUUUUAAUUCAGAGUAUUUAUGCCAAAGUAAAUCUACUUUUGCUUGUCUUAAAUUUUUUAGAAAUGAUGCGGGAUGGUGGUGUGCUACUUUAGAUAAUCUAGCUUCUUCUAUUUGUAUAUGUGCUAAACACUGGUCUGUUGUUUCAAUUUCCUCUAAAAUUUUGUCAAAAUAAUAAUAGGUAUCUGGUUGUCUGAGGCUUUGUAAUGCUAAUCUGUAUGCGUUUUCUGGAGUGGAUGUAAAUUGGAAAGGCGGUUCAAAAUUCAUAUAAAAUAUCAGGAUGAUUAACUGGAAUUUAAGAAAUUGAUGACUACUAGAUACUUUAAGAAAGAUAACUGAGAUUUUACCUUCCUUGCUUUAAAUCCAAAUUUUCCUUCUGAUGCUGUGAAAAUGGGAAUUUUGUGCUUAGGAGUUGUGCCUCACCGGAUCUUCCCCUUAUGCCUGCUUUGCAACUGAAAGGCUUUAAUGGGUACUACACCGUCUUUUGGUCUUUUAGGCUCCUAAAAACAAGGUAUCUUUUUCAGAGUUUCCGGUGGUUUGGAUCUAAUCUAGGGUUGGCUGCCUAAAUCUCUACUUUCUUAUUUCUCUUUCGUCUUAUGCUAGCAAUAUGAGAGAGCUAAAGACUUGUAAAAAACUGCUAAAGAAUGUAUGAAAUUGGAGUUUUUAUUGGAUACUUUAAUUUACGGGAUGUAAGUGCAUCGUACCCAACAUUGGUUUGGGACGUAUGCCUUUAUAGACUUCUUGUGCAAACUGUGCGAACUUAAAAUUUUUUGACUCAAAGUCCGUGGACAUGACAUGUUAACUUUACGGACUUAAGACCUUCUGAAAUCCGUAAAAACAUCAAAUCAAUUUUGCCUAACUAUACAAUGUGGCCGACAACUAAUAAAAGCAUUAUGACCGACCUAUACAUAGAUUCUAAAUAAAUUUGGCCAAACUAUACAAUGUGGCCUAAAAGCUUUAUGACCGAUCUAUACAUUAUAGCUUUUGACAAGAUGGCCGAAGAAUUAUCCUUCCAUCAUAUUUUCGAUGUUGCUCAUUUCUUCUGGUCCCAUUGUUUCCCAAUAAUGAUCAUCAUUAUAUUCUUCAUCUGCUUCGAUAUCCAAAUGCCUUGCUCCUGUGCUCAUAUAAUAUCCUUCCAAAUAUUUUUCAAAGACUUCUGGAUAAUUGGUACUUAUAGUGAAAUCUUUUUCUAACUUAAACCUGUAUGGGACAUAUAUCUUUUGUAUCUUAUUUUCAUAUACUAACCUAAUUCCAUUUUCCCAUUGAUUUAUGAAAUGUCUGUAAGCUAAUUGGAUCAUUUUAGCAUUUAUCAAUUGUUCUUUUAAUUCUAAUGGACAUUCCACUAGACUGCUGCUGAUUUUCUCUAGUUCUUCUGUCGUUCUCCUUGCUGGUGGUAUAUUGCUGACUGUAAUCAUCAUUCUAUGUAUUGCUGGUUCUAUAUCAAAAAGUCCUAUCCAUUCUGCUGGCGCGGAUUUGAUAUGUACAGUUGCCCACUGUCCAUAGUCUAACAUUUUUCUGAUGAAGUAUCCGAGAUGAGUUCCAAGACAAUGAGUAUCUUCUGGAUUUGUAACAAUAAUUUUUUCCAGGAAUCCGGCAUCCAUAAGAAACUGUGGUGUUAAAAUAACUCUUUCCCCAUUUACUCUUAGUAUCUUUGGGGAUGAAUAUUUUGAUAAGAUAAUAGUGGCUCUAAGGAAAAAAUUACUAAGUGUAUGUAUACAAUGGCUAUUUAUUUUCUGGUGGUCACAGGCUUCUGGAUUGUUUGGGCAAUGUUUUUCUGGGUCGAUGAAGAAAGAUGGAUGUAGUCUAAUGGCUGCUGUAUUUCUAAUUGGAUCUUUUGCUAUUUCAUAAAAGUAUUGUUGGACUGCCAUUAAUUUUGAAUAAUAUUGGGCUUGGGCUUUUUGGCUAAUAAUUUCUUGGAUAUGUAAAGGGAGGAAACUAAGUAGGUGAUAUGGUUUAAAGGAUAUUCUGGGCUUAAGAAAUUCAAAUGGUCUUUCUGAAAUGGGCUUUUCUUUUAUAAAAAUUGUCUGUUUUAUUGGGCCGGAUGAAGAACUGGCCAUUUGAGAUGCUGUAUGAGACAGCCUUCCUUUGAGCUCCCCAAUCUCAGAAAUUUGUGAGAGAAUAGUAUCUCCUUGUGAGCCUGAGAUUUUAUACAUUUCUUUCAGUUGUUCGGUUAAAGAUUUUAUCUUUUCUUUUUGAGAAAGAUCUUCUUUUUCAAAAUUUCUACACUUUAAAUUUAAACUUCUAAUAGCUUGCUCCAUGCUCUUACAAUGUCUACAAAAUUCUAUUCUAUUUGUGUUAUCUUUUUCUAAUGCAUAUUGAUAAUUUCUACUGCUACUAGGGGCAUCUGUAUUUUGAUAUACUGGAGCCCUCAUGCUGUCCAUGCUAGCCUUAGGAUCUACAUAAAAUGUUGUUCCUAUAUUAUGCCUAGCGAAUUCUAGUGCUUCAUGUAUGCUAUGAAAUGCUUUCCAUAAAGGAUUAUGAAAAUGAUUUAUUUGUUCUAUAACGGAAAUCCAUUUGGAAUAAAUUCCAGGUAUUUUUCCUUUUACCACUACAUAAUAUGAAAAACUUUGUUUUGGAAGAUUACUAAAAUAAAAUGCUAAGAUAUUAAGAUUUCUAACUUUAUUAGUGCUAUUUCUGCUAUUCCAGAGGUUAUUUAAGAUAUCCUGCUGGAUGUCUUCUAAAUUACCUUCCUCUUGGCUAUGGAAAUGUAGACUUGUACCUUUAGGGUACUUUGUAAGUUCCCACUGGCCAAUUUUGACUUUCUGGAAGUUAUAUGCCAUCUGCUGAGAGAUCAGAAGAAUUGUUAAAUAGUCGUGAUAAAAAAUCUGCUAAAUUAUUAUCUUUACCUUUAAUGUGUUCAAAAACUACUUUAUAUCCAUUACCAAUAAUACUAUCUACAAAAUUUAACCAUCUUCUAGUAGAACUUCUUUUUUCAUUAUGUUUAUCAAAAAACUUUUUUAUUGCUUCACAGUCUGUUCUAAUAGUUAUUUCAGACUUGUUGAUUAUAAAAAGUCUAAAAUUAUCCAAACUAUAUUUUACUGCUAAUAAUUCAUUAUCUAUACUACUUCUAUUGCCUUUUUCCUUAUAUUUACCACUAGCAUAUCUACAGAUUUGUUCACUAUUUUUACUACUAUACUUAUUUGGUUUUGCAAAAAGAACUGCUCCCCAUCCGGUACUACUGCCAUCACAUUCUAUUAUCAAGUAAUAUGUGUCUAAUGGUAAUUUUAGAUCAUGUAAAUUGCCUAUUGUUUGUUUAAUUUCUUGUAUUAGUUUGACGUCUUCUUUAUUAAAGAAUUUUUGUCCUUUUAAAGAGGUUUUAUUAUACAAUGGUGCUACUAGGUUAUUUAAGUUUUUAAUAAAAGGUCUUGCAUAAUUUAAUAAUCCUAAGAAUUGUUGGAGUUUCUUUGUUUCUUCUAUCUUAUCUGGAAAUUCUAAAACCUUUUUACAAAUAUGUGGUUGUAAUUUUAUUUUUCCUUGUCCUAUUUCUGUUCCUAAAAAUUCGAUAUUUUUUCUAAAAAAUUGUGCUUUUUUAUUACUGAUUAUUAUUCCAUGUUUAAUAAAUUCUGAGAAAACUAAUUUUAGAUGACUUACAUGUUCUUCUUUGUUUUUUGAAAAUACUAAUAUAUCAUCUAUAUAUACUAUGACGAAAUCUUUAUAUUUAUUAAAAAUAUUAUCCAUUUUUCUUUGAAAUAUGGCUGGUGCAUUUUUUAACCCAAAAGGCAUUACUAACCACUCAUAGUGUCCUAAAGGACAUGUAAAAGCUGUCCAUUCUAUACUUUCUUUAUGCAUUUUUACCUGCCAAAAUCCUGACUUACAAUCAAAUUUACUAAAAAUAUAUCUAUAUUGGAUUCUAUUUAUUAACUCAUUUUUAUCUGGUAUAUCAUAGCCAUCUUCUUUAGUAUUGUCAUUUAAUCUUUUAUAAUUUAUUACCAUUCUACUUUUUCCCCUAACUAUUUCACUAUGUUUUUUAACUAUAAAUGCUGCACUUCUGUGUGGACUAGUACUUCUUCUAAUUAUUUUAAACUUAUUUAGAUCAGUUAUAUGCAUUUCGAAUUCUUUUAUAUCAUCAUUACUAGCUUCUAUUUUUGCUGUGCUAAUUUUUAAAUUUGGAUUUAAAAUAUCUAACUUACAUUCUGUUUUGUCAUUAUCCCAAUGAAUAGUUGGAUUUUCUCCAAAAAUUUCUAAUUUUUCUAAUUCACUUAUUAGUUGGUCUAUAUCUCUAUGUCCUGUUUCUAAUAGAUCAUAUAAUUUUUCAUUAUUUAAAAUGGUUGUUAUUGUGUCAUAAUUUUCUAUCUCUAAAUAUUCUUCAAAUUCUUUAUCUUCUAAACAGUUUUGAAUUCUUUGUGACGAAUAUAAAGGUCUUUCUCCAGUCAUCUCCAUAUUGUCAAAAGAAUUAGUUUUCUGAUUCUUCCCCCUAUAUUCUUGGGUUGAAUCAUUCUUACAGCUACCUUUUAUAUCACAUUUACAAUUAUCUUUUUCUUCUAGUCUUAAGAGUCUUGUAAAUUUAUUAUCUUUAUUUAUUUUAAAUUUAUUGCUUGUUAAAAAAGUAUUAUAUGGUAAAAAAUGUUCUCUAAGGAAUGUUAAUCCUGUUCUAGUAAGAAUCAUGCCAUGAUAUGCCUGUAAAAUAAAUGAUAGUCCUAAUAUCAUUUGAUAAGGAAAACUUCUAAUAUAUAUUUCUGUUACAUGAUAUGGUUGUGUACAGUGUAUGCUAUCUAUUUCAAAAAAUAAUAAAGAAUUAUGUAAUGCUGUGUCAUAUGUAUAUGUACUUCCAUCCAUUUGUCUAGCUGUUCUAAUAUGGUAUGCUUUUUCAUAAUAUUUUUCUGGAAUUAACUCUUGUUGGAUUACUAUAUUACUAGCUCCUGUGUCUAUUACUGCUAAUAAUUGUGUUUCAAAAUCUCCUAUUUUUAUUCGAGUUUUUACUUCUAUGGAUGUUAUAUUUGAUGUUCCUGCUUGUAAUAAUUCUAGAUCAUAAUUAUGUUUUAUUUCUUCUAUUUCUGGAAAGAUUUCUAAUCUAUGUUUUCAAUAGAUACUUCGCUUUCUAUUGUUUUUCCCUUAUUUAAUUUUUCUAUUUUUUGCUCUAAAUGUUCGACCUUAUUUUCUAAAAUUCUUAUCCUUCUUUCUAAAUAAUGUUCUAAAGGCAGAUUUUCUUCAGUUUUUUCUUUUUUAAUAUUUUCUAUUAAAACAUAUUCCUGUGCAAGCUUUUCUAAACAGUAUUUGCAUCCUUCUAUAUAACAUAGCUGGCAUUGAAACCUUAAUUCUAUUGAUGGAUAUUUAUUACAGUUAUAGCAUGCUUUGCUAUAAUUUCCUUUUCUAUGUUCCCAUUUAUGGAUACACUCUACUUCAACUAGUUCUAAGUCUUCUAACAUUUUAAAAUCUUCUUUCAUUUCUUCUAAAUAUAUAUUAUCCAUGAUAGUUUUGUUUUCUGAUUUUUCUAAAAUUUCAUCUAUAAAACUUGUGUCUUCUUGUUCUAUAAAAUCUGUUAAAUUUAAGUCUUCAGAUACUAUACUAUAAAUACUUUCUGUCUCUAGUAUAUUAUCAUCUAUUUCUAUUAAAUCUUCCGAAAAUAAUUCUAUUAAGUGGGCUUCUCUAUUAAAAGAGUUAUGUUUUUGUGGACAAUUUGUUGCUAAAUGGUUUGGUUGUUUACAGAUAAAACAAGAUAAUCUAUUUCCAUAAGUUCUUUCUGGUCUAUAUCUUCUAACAUGAUGUUCUUUUUUGAGAAAUGGUUUUCUAGCUUUGUUUUUCCUAAGAUAAUAUUGUUUUUUAGGGUAUCUUUUAUAAUUUUUAUAAGGCUUUCUAUAUUUUCUUUUUUCUUUAUCUUUUUCUCCAUAUUUUUGUGGUGUGUAUAUUUCUGAGCAAAAACUAUAUUCUCCUUUUAAUUGUCUUUGUAUUUUUAUAAAAGUACAUUCUUCUACUAAUCUAUUGAUUAUAAAUCUUACUGCCGUACUCACAUUUUUUAAUGUUGGUUCCAUGGGCGUUGCUUUGUAUAAGGUAUAUAUUUUCUUUCCUAAGUCGUCUGGUAAUUUUGCAAAUAAUUUUUCUAUAAUUCCUUCAUCAUAAAAACAUCCUGCUAAACAACUAUAAUAUAAAAAGUCUUGUAAAAAAGGUUUAAUAUAUUUCCAGUUUCUAAUUGAUAAUUGUUCUAGUUUUCUUACCGAUUCUAUCUGUGUCAUUACUCCUCCUCUAUUUGGACUUGUUGCUAAUAGAAUUUCUUCUACUCGAUUAACAAAAUUCAUUGGAUUGACCCCAUGUGCCUGAUCUUGUUGUAACCUAUCUGGGAAUUUUUGUUUAAAUGCUUCCCAUGCUGCUCUUGCUACUCCUCCUAAAAAUGUUUCUAAAUAUGUAUACAUCUCUAUUACGUUAUGAUCGAAUCCUUUUUGUAUUUAAUUUCUUACUACUCUAGCUUUCCAGCUUCCUAUUACAUCUUCUAUCAUUUGUGGAUCGUAAGAUGUUAACAUUAAAGUUUUUCCUUCAUCUACUGAAUGCUCUUUUAUUUCUAAUUCUAAUGGUUUUCUUUUUCCCCUAGAACUAUAUUUUUCCUCUGGUUCUCUAUAUUCAUUAUAGACUAUUCUGGGUGGUUGUCCUGGUUCAUAUGUUCUAACAUUUCCUGUGUGACUAGGAUCAGUUUGCAUAUCUGUUGGUCUGUUACUACUUUCACCACUUUGUUGUUGUUGAUCCAUUAAUUCUCUAUAUGACAUUAUGCUGGCUACUUCUAAAUUAUCUUCUUCAGAAUUAUCUUCUUCUUCUUUAACUCUAAUAUUUCCAACGUUAUCAUAGUAUAAUACUUCGUUUAAUGCUAUUUGUCCAUUUGCUUCUAAUUUUCUUUCUAAAUCAAAUAGUUCUUUCUCUGUUAAGUCAAUUUUUAAUUCUUUUGGAUAAAGAAUCCUAUGAUUUAUUUCUAUUAAUUCUUCUUCUAAUAAAUUUAUUUCUAUUAGAUCUGAUUCUACGUCGGAUUUGUCUAUUUCUUCAUUAUCUGUUCCUAAAGCUGUUGGUUCAUAAUUGAAAAAUCUAAGGCUUGUUCUUCCUUGACUAUUUUUAUAUAUUAUACUAUCCUUUGGUAUUAUUGGAUUAUUUUCUUCUACAAAUUUACUAAUCUCCCAUUCUUCUCCUGCCAAAUUUUCUGAACUUACUUCUAUUGGUUUUAUUAAUCUUAUUCCUUUACUUGCCAUAGCCUCUACAUUGGCUUUAUUUCUACUUUAUAUCUGGUUUUACUACUAUUUGUUAAUCUUCCUAUAAAUCCGAUACUUAUUGUUAAAUUAUCUCCUUGAAAAUUUUCAUAUCCUUUAGUUUGUAUUCCUAUUUCUAAAUUUUUUAUAUCUUCUAAGGUUAUCAUAAAAUAUGGGCUGCAAUAAAAUAUUCCUCCAUUCUGAUUCAUAUCUACUUCUAUACUGGCUAUUAAUGCAUCUUCUACUUUUUUAUGUCUCUUAUCUAAUACUGCUAAUAAUACUUUUUUCCCCAAUCCUUUUCUUGUUAGUCCUUUAAUUCCUAUAACUAUUAAUCCUAUAUGCAUAUAUGUAUACUGUUUUCUAAUUUGGUUUAUGCUUUGUUGUGUUAUCAUUCUAAGAUUUACGGGGUUACUUAAUGCGCUCACUGGUUCUUCUCUGCUUUGUCUAAAUAAUCCUGUAUUACUUCUGAGAAAUCCUACUGAGUACAAGGUUCUUGGGUUUAAUAAACUUAUUUCAUUAUUCCUGUAUAUUUCCAAGUCUCUAUCUACGUCUAUUGCUUCUUCUAAAUGCAUGCUCCUACUCCUUCUUAAUUGUCUCCCUAUAUUUAAUACACUAGUUCCUACUUGUGUGUUUUCGUUGACUGUUCUACUAGGUCCUGAAAAUGAUGUUCUACUAGCCAUCUUAAAAUUUUUGUGGUUUAGGAUUUACUGAAAAUAUAUUACUAAGAUGUGGUUUACUUUCUUUCUUUGUUACAGGUAAUUUUUUAAAUUGGUCCGUUAUUUCUUCCAAAUCUUUUUCAAACUUAUCUAUUUGUAGGACUCUGACCUUUUCUGUUAUUGUAUCUACUUUUUUAUGUAAGGAUAUUAAUAAUGCUAUUAUAGAGUUAUUUUGUUUAGGAUAUAUUUUAUCUGAUGCACUAGCUCCUGAAUAAUCUGUUAAUCCCAAAGAGUCUUGAUGAUAAUAUUUUAAUUCUUCUAAUGUUUUUAGAUAAUCUGGAUAAAAGACAUAAUGUGAGGGAAGUGGCUUAUUACUAUUACUACUCAUAUAUCAACUUAAAAUGAUUUUUUCUAUUUUAUGUAAUAGUACUUCUACUUGAUUGUAAGAUUGUUUUAAUUCUAUAGAUUUUUGUCUUAUCUCUUCUAAUACUUCUUUAGUUAUUUUUUCUGUAUUAAUUUUAUGUUCUAUUUUUAAUUGUUUUAGUUCUUCUAAAUAUUUUAUUCUUUUUAUUAUUUUAUUAUUUUGUUCCUUUAAGUAAUCCUGAUUUUCUACUAGCGUCUUUAUUACUUUAUUUUUAUUCUUUAUUGAUUCUAGUAAAUUUUCUAUUAUCCGAGAAUUAUUUUCUUUAUGUUUCUCUAAAGACUCCCCUAAAGAUAUUACUAGAUCAAUAAGGCUAUUAUAAUUUUUAUCUUCUUUACUAUGUAAGGUAUGUUUAUAGGUGUUCUGAAAAUAACAAAUAUGCUUAUGAUUAUCUAAAGUUAUUAUAUUCCUAGAUUUAUUUUUUAUUUCUAGAUCUAAGUAUUCUAAUCUUUUAUCUAUCUUUGACUUUAAGGAAUCAGGCUCACCGGGAAGGCAAGCUUUGAUACCAAACACUCUAGUGAUUGAACUUUUACGGCUCCAAUUAAAGACCUAUGUUGGACUACACUAUGUUGGACUUUUACGGCUCCAAUUAAAGACCUAUGUUGGAUUACACUAUGUUGGACUAUGUUGGAAUUUUACGGCUCUAAUUAAAGUCUUUCGUGAUUAAUCAAAUGUUAAUCAGAUGUUCUACAAACUUUAUUACAAAAAUUCCUUUUAUUUUUAUAUUUUUCUUGUUCUUCUAAUUUUUGUCUUUCUAUUGAUUUUAAUUCAGAGUAUUUAUGCCAAAGUAAAUCUACUUUUGCGUGUCUUAAAUUUUACGGCUCUAAUUAAAGUCUUACGUGAUUAAUCAAAUGUUAAUCAGAUGUUCUACAAACUUUAUUACAAAAAUUCCUUUUAUUUUUAUAUUUUUCUUGUUCUUCUAAUUUUUGUCUUUCUAUUGAUUUUAAUUCAGAGUAUUUAUGCCAAAGUAAAUCUACUUUUGCGUGUCUUAAAUUUUACGGCUCUAAUUAAAGUCUUACGUGAUUAAUCAAAUGUUAAUCAGAUGUUCUACAAACUUUAUUACAAAAAUUCCUUUUAUUUUUAUAUUUUUCUUGUUCUUCUAAUUUUUGUCUUUCUAUUGAUUUUAAUUCAGAGUAUUUAUGCCAAAGUAAAUCUACUUUUGCUUUGGUCUAUAUCUCUAUGUCCUGGCUCUGAUACCAAACACUCUAGUGGUUGGACUUUUACGGCUCCGGUACACUACAGUAAAAUUUUAGACAAACUUCCAAAAAAUUUAGGUUCCAAACGAGGCCUUAGAAUGAUAAGGAAAAUUUUGUGUAGAGCUAUUAUUAACCAAUGCCAGGAUUAGGUAAUGAAUUAAGACUGAGUGUAUUUGGAUAAUAGAUUAUUUGAAACAAUUUUUUGAAAAGGAUACGGUAGUACUUUUUUGAUGUAAUCUGUGUAAGAUGAAAAGGUAAUUGAAAAAUGUAUUGAUGAUUUUGUUUUGUUAAAUUGUAAAGGGCGAAAUGGAUUAAGAUUCCCAAAGUUGAAAUAUGGGCCUGAACUCCAUGGGAUUGAUGGACCGGGUUGCAGAAGCCCAAAUAUCAAUUGAAUACCCUUACAAGCAACACAAAGUGGGGUAAAAUGUCAACGGAUAGGCUUGAGCAAAUCCCCCAGUUGCAACAGAGUCUUCUUAUCUAUAUUUUAAUUUAAAUUACGCCGUGCAUUUUACUUUUCUGGACGGAACACGUUAAUGGGGUUUCGUGAAAGAAAAUGAGAAUCCAGAGUUAUCCUCAACGAAGAAUAAUGUUUCUGAUUUAACUUGGGGAUGAACGGCCUUUUUUUUUUUAUAUAUAAAAAAAAAAUACUCUUUUAACAUCAAUGAAAGAAAUUGCAUCUGAUGAAGGAAAAAAAAAUAUGACGAGAUCAAGUCUUAGAGCAGGCAAACAUGACUUAAGGUUCGUCCACAUUAGGAGAUUAUAAUAAUAGUGUCUUAUGAAAAUUCACGCUAUUACACAAGUUCUUUAGUCAAAAUAAAAAUACAUAGAACAUCAAUUGCAUCGAGUCUUAUGAAAGGAAUCAUUAGCAUGACAGGCAUUUUUUCUUCUGAUCAUGGUAACCAACCUGCCAUGUAGUUAUUCACACUCGGGCCUGCCGCUGCCACUGUUAUUGCAUCAUUCUGGUAUCUGUAUUUCAGUGAAUAUAUAUACAUAUAUAUAUGUAUAUGUAUGUAUCAGUUUCUUCUCACUUCUUCUAUGAUGCAACAUAAAAAGGAUAGUAUACUAUACAGUACAGUAAAAUAUGAUUGCCUUGAAAUUUGAUAACAAUCUAGGUACUAAAUCUGUUGCUGUAGGAUGCUAAGUGGAAACUGAUGCGUUAUCAAAUGUUACUGAAUUAUAGAGUUCAUACCCAAUCUGUAAUGUCGGUUCACAAUCCAAUGGAUGAAAAAAACCAUCACCCUGAGCAUGAGCUGGUUGUCGGCCGUACCCAACAUCCUGUGCAUUUGGAUUCCACUGGAGAUUUACUUGGUUUCCUUCCAUCAGCUGCAAGAUAUUUAUUUAGAAAUGUUGUACGUGCUGUCAUGUUGCUGAUCAGGUGAAUGCAGUUCAACUAACGUCUAGACAUUGGGAAAGAUUUAGAUUGUAAAAACAUUUAAAGAUCAGAAAAUUACAACUUACCCUUUGUUUUAGAGUUUUGUUUGCCUCGUUCAAAGCAUGUUCCUGCAAAAAUAAAUAUAUGAUUAAAAGGUCUCAACAAUUUGAUAGAAACUUGAACUCUGGAUUGCUUGAAAAUUUGCAGAAUGUUUUAAUACCUUUCUCUGGAGAUCAGUGAGCUGAUCCAGCAUUACUUGAGUCUGCAUGCAUGCAAGGCGUAGAGUUUAAUGCACAUACAUACGAUCUAUUCAGUUUCGUUUACAGCAAAAUUUUCGAUGCUAGCUAUUGCUCCAAAAUUACAAUGUCAAUGAUUUCAUCUUCUCAUUAUCUUCUUGAUUAUUUUGACAGUAAUUCAUGUGAUGCCUAGCUAUAUAUGCCAUUGACAUUUCAAAGAAAAGUAUGAAACGGCAGGAAAAGAAGCAUGGGUCAAUGAGAGUACUCUUGUCCUCAUGUUUUAUGGUGAAUAUAACUGGAAAUCAUCCAGUCAUUAAUUUGCAGCCGCUUUUACUUUAUAUUUCUCUUAAGCAUCAUAUACAUAUAUAUUGGACUAUCUAUUGGAUCCAAAUUAAUUAGAGCAUCUAUUGCAAAGUAUCUCAAGUUUAACUGAUACUGUGAAUGUCAGGUGACUAGUAGGCAGACUACUAGAAAUGCUAGCUAGUAGGACUUCACAGGCCAUUAAUGGCUAGACUUGGCUUCAAACAAAUCAAAGAAUCCAGUUUCAAGGGCUGAUCAAUGCGAAAAUUAGAGCGAAUAGGACGAAAGUAGUGCUAAUUAAUGAAAAUUUUGCAUGGAGAAGAAGAGGAUGGGAGGGAUUACCCGUGUUGAUCUGAUUUGCUUCAGCGACAUAUCAAGCUGCCUUUCCAAUGAUUCAAGUUCCUUGCUGUUUAAAGGACCAAGGUCCUCGCCCAAAAGAUUCCUACCAUCACAACAGCAUAAAGGAAAAUGAUUUUACUGUCCUUCCACUUUUCUUUUUUUUUUUUUAACAUGCAUAAUCUAUUGCUAGGUACCUUUGUGAUCUUUGUAGAGCUUCGUAACGUGCUUUAAGCUUCAAAUACUCCUGCUGACUACUCAGCUCCUAGAACACAAUCAGUAAGUAAAUGAGAACUUGCAGUCAAUGGCAAGGAAAACGAGUGCCCUGUAAUCUAUUAUAUCUAAUGAACGGGAUUUCUAUGGAUCUAUCCAAGAAAAUAUAGAAAAGAAUCUAAAGGGCAAAUAUGAGUAUAUUUUGUCCUCUAAAGGGAAAAUAUAGAGGAAGAAUCUGAAGGGCAGGAGUAGACAAUAGGAGAGAUCUAUUAAUAUAACACAUGUUAAUUUAUACAACACAGAUUAGAUGCAAAGUUUACUAUGAAUGCCUUCUUUAUAAAGUAGUAGAGAUGGUUGAGACUCGGAUAACUUCAUGUGCCGGGUAAAAGGGAAAAAAAAAAAUAUCUUGAUGUUAAAAUUUUAUGUAAAGAAAUUCAAAAUAGCAAAAACCAAACAAGUACUGUAUAAUGGAAGUCACGUCACAUACACAUUUUAUUCUCAGGAAAUAUUUUAUUUUAAUUAGUACGUAGUAGUAUCUAAGCGACUUCUAAGCAAACUUUUUUUUUUUUUUUUUCUACAAACGGACUUCUAAGCAAACUCGUUUAAGCUUUUUGUUGACAUUUUAAGAAAUUCAACACUAAUUAAGCUAGUUAGAAUAUUAAUUUUCAACAUUUUCUCUGAUCACCAAUUAAUUAACUAACUAAUGUAUACAUACCAUAUAAUAAUAAGUGCUCACCAGUGCUUCCCUGGUGGAUAUGUUGGGCUCAGGUGCUCCAUAGUUGCAUUUCUGAUACCUCUCUAGCGUCUUGACCAUGCUGUACAGCGUCACUCUAAACAUUGUUAAUUGAGUGCAGAAAAAGGGAUUUCAUUCAUUCAACAAAAACACAAUAAUGCCAGAACUAAGAUCUCCACUAAUAAAUGUUUAUGCCAGCACUACUAUUAUCAUUAAUUACUUUCAGUUCCUCCAAGCUUCUUCUUUUUGGUAUCACAUCCCCAGUACGUAGCUAGGUAUAUUUAUUUAUACGCAAUCCUUUCUAUUUAUUCAUUCAUUUUUUUUUGAAUGACAUUAAUUAAUAAGACUUCAUUACUGCUCAGAGUUUUGUCAAAAGCAUUAAUCAGUGCAGCCGUACUGCUUUCUUUCUCUGUUAGACUCAUUUAAAAGGAGAAGAAAACAAAUUAAUAGCAAAGCACAAAAUAAUUACUGAGCCUAUGUAAUAUAGUAUAUCCGUAGGUAAUUUUUUGCUGUUCUGCCCUUUUCUGUUGCUUCCAAUGCACCUACAGCUAAUCAUGGUACUUCAUAUGAUUCAAACUACGGUUUUACAUGUUAUCUAUCUGUAUAUAUGUACACACUCACACACACACACAAAAACUCAAAAUCCCUUUAAGUUAGCAAGAGUACUUCAAAAAAAAAAAAGUGUCUAUGGCAAGCACAAUUAAAAUAAUCAUUACAUUACAAAAAAAAAAAAAAAAAAACCAGAUAUUUGCAGGAACCAUAAAAAGUUGUGAUUUUGGAUGAUCAGACACGAAACUGCAUCAAAAACAACACUGAGCAAACCCUAAAUCCGUCGUACCGAACCCUAGACCUAAUUCAAUGAUUGAUGGAAGCUCUCUCUCUCUCUCUCUCUCUCUACCCCACAGAAAAACUUCCCAGACACUUUGUUAAGCAUACCUCCCCAAGCUUUAUGGAGGAGCUCUAUUUCCCGAACGGUCCCCAAUAAAUGAUUAAAAAAAAAAAAUCAUUAUGCAUCAAUAACAUAGACCACGAAUGAUCCUAAUUAAAAAAAAAGAAAAAAGAUUUUGGAGGGUACCCAAAUUGGGUAGAUGGCAAAUUUGAAACAGAUUUGCAAAGAAAGACCGUAGAAACCCUAAAAAGGUACAAACUUUGGACAAGCAUCAUUCAAAGGAAACCCUAAAUUGUCAUGUUUGAGGAGCAGCAGCUGCAAACUUACAGAUUCAUGAGCAUCCACUCCCGGACUUCUUGUAAAAGAUGCAUUCAUAAGCAGAAAACAUUUUUUCAAUUAGCUCCAUGAACCUUAAGGGCAUGUUUUUGAAAGCAUGUAUAGAUCAGACCAUAUUGAUGACAUAGAAGAGAACGGAAACCACUACAAUUGGAUUGUUAAAAAAAAAACCGAUCAAACUCCUCCUCUUUGAGGAGUUAAUAAAAGAACUAGCUAGGAAGAUCAGAAAAUAAAGGUAAGAGAGAGUUGGGAAGAGCAAAAACUAGAUCAGCGAAAAAAGGGUUAAAGAAAACCUCAAACAUAAAAAUGGAAAUGAUCUUCUUUUCAUGGUUUCCUCUUGCAGAUCUAACAUCAUCCUUAAGCACAAAGUCCUAUACGCUCCAAAAUAUUCACCAAAACGGCAUACUUGCUCAGCACCGAAAAAGAGAAAAACAACCAUCACCCCUUCCCCCUUCAAUUAAAGACGACCUUCACUGUUCUCCUCUCCUCUUCUCCUACUUGCCAUUGAUUAUUAUUCAGAUCUCUCAAAACCAACAAUAGCACACGAUUACCUAGCUAAAGAAAUGAGGAAAAAAAUGAAAAACAAACGGGGGCAAAAAAAAAAGAGGAGAUCUUGAUAAGGAAAGAGAGAUAGUUAUAAACUAGUCUUGCUAAGAAAUGGUUAUACUCGAUAGCAGUACAUGACUAGUCGGUAUAUGGGGCGUGCAUAAAGUAGAGUUGUUUUUAUGUAUAAUAAGGGUGUAUACCUAGAGCUACUGCAAAACUCAUAGAGCUUUCCUCUAUUGGAGAAGAUGAUCAAAGCAACCUCAGCAUCACAUAGAACUGAGAGCUCAUAAGCUUUCUUCAAUAGCCCAUUUCUUCGCUUAGCAAAAGUUACUUGCCUAUUGAUCUUGUUCUCUAUCCUCUUUAGCUCCACCCUACCUCUUCCCAUCCUCUCUCCUACCUCUCUUUCCGUUCUUAUUACCACUGAAACUCACAAAUUACAACCACAACAACAGAGUAUUGUUUCCCCCUCAAAACUGCUCCUUCCCUUUUGUUUCCCUCUUUUUAUAUGCACAUCCCACAAUACAUGUAAUCUUCUACACAUAUACUAGAUAACUAUUCGGUCCUGUUUAUACAUCCCCACAGUUUAGAUGAGAAAAAUUAUUUAAGGGCGGGCCCUGAGACAGAUACACAAUUUCCCACUCUCAAACAAAAUGAGAACCCUUCUGGGAUUCUUCAAGACACUAACCACAAUGAUUAUAAGGCUGUGUGAGCGUCUCAAGGGACGGAUUGUGUGUGGUUGACGUGCAUGGUAAGGAUGUGGACCAUGGUUGGUAUCUCGGGCUUAAAAGGAUGGAUCGGACGGUGAAGAGAUGGGGUUGAGGAAGGACGACAGAGAGGGGAGGAUGGUGGGACGAAAAAAAUACUAGUGGGCAUGAAGGGUUAUUGAGGGAGGAAACCUUAAAACCUACGAGGUAAUUCGAUGUCGAUGUGCUACGUGUCAAGAUGUCAAGUGAUUGACAGCUGAUCAAAGGAUUCAGUUGAUUCAUCUCUUGACAAAUCCUUGAGAACCUAAACCUUUGUAAUUACAGGAGCUGCUUUUAUCUUUUGUGUCCUGACUGAAAUACCCUUGAAAUGUACCCCUUAUUAUUAUUAUUUUUUUUUAACGGUGAAAGACUGGUUUGCUCGGACCACUUUGCCCUCCACUGUGACGUAUAGCUGGUACUACUAGUAUUUUGUUGUAUCUGGUUGGGAAGAGGAAAUUUUUGAAGCAAAAGAAAAAGAAAAGCGGAGAAAGAGAUUUAUUUAUGAAAAAGAAGGCGAUUAUCUGCCCAAUAACCGAGUUAAAAUGAACAUAAACGCAGGGGUCAUGCGCAGCUGCCAAGAAUAUUACAAGAAUCUUUUGAAGAGUAUAAGACAUAAUAUUCGUGGAUGACCUUUUUUGCCACUAUAUAUGUAUCUUGGAUGAAGGAUAUGUACGUGACUAGCUGGUUGUAAUGAAUAGUUUCUUUCUCUGGGGCUGGGAGACUCAAUUGCUUGACGAGACCACAGAAACUAUCUGCAUAUGACCUAACAGAGAUUACUAGCUAGCGUACAACUAAUUAAACAGCAAUGCGCAAGCCAUUGCAUAAACUCAUGGCCAAUGACACUGCCACAAACUAAAAGGCAGCAAUGUGAAAGUUAGAGCUUGCAAUUCUUGUAAUACACCGUAAUAUGAAAAUCUGUGAGGUACUUGAUCAGUAAGUUAAUGUAAAUGGUUCCAGGGACAUCUUUUAUUCAACAUAGAAAUAUAAGUUGCAAAUUACCACCCCUCCUCCUUACACAAGAAUGUCCUCCUAUCAUUCCCACCCGAUCGACAAAGAGUUCUUGAUCAGAGGUUCACCAUGAUUCUCUUCCUUGUCAUCCCUUUUAUUUUCUACCUCCAAAAGAGAGGAGUAUAAGGAAAUUACUAUAUAUUGUUCUGCGAUACCUUUACAGCUUUACUUGAUAAUUAUGCUGAUAAGGGAAAUAAAAAUCAUUCGUGUCCAACAAAAUCUUAAUUUUCUCCAAAUAUAUAAAAGAGACGGAAAGAAAAUUUAAAAAAUAAAUAAUAAGAAAACAGAAAAGAUAGAAGGGAAAUAUUAAAAAAAUAAAUAAGAAACAAAAAAUACAAAAAAAAAUCUUUUUUUUUACUACAAAUAUCAUUAUAAGUUUUUAAACCAAAUCUUUAAUGGUAUUUUCUAGUUCUUGUUUAUCUAUUUUUAUUUCAAUUUCUUCAUUUUUAUGUUUAGAGGGAAAAAAGAAAAGAAGUAAUGAAAAGGUAAAUUUAUCAAUUUAUUAGUUUGACUUUGACUUUUUAUUAAUUUCAACAGAAAAGCUAAUGAUGGCGCUUUAAUCUAAUUCAUGAGGGAGUUAUAUAUAGGGGUGUGCAAAGUCGAAAAAUUUCGAUUUCGAAACCGAUUUCAAAUUGAAUUCAGAAUUUCGAUAAUUCGGAAGUGAAUUCGGUAAUUCCGAUUUCGAAUUGGUCGAAAUCGGGUCGAAUUCAAAAACAUAAUAUUUGAAAUCGGUGAUUCCGAUUUCGAAUUGAGGAAAAUAGAAAAUACAAAAACGCGGUCUCCUCCUCACCACCGUCACCUCACUAGGCUCCAGUCCCCGUUCUCAUCCUCGGCUCUGCUCUCCUUGGGACUCUACCAUCUCAUCUAUACCACCAAGAACCACCUCAAGUCUUCCCGAGAUUACACCGCCAGACCUUACCACCCUCUCCCCAACGGCGCCCACCGCCUCCUCAGACCUCCGCCAUCUCCAGCUCUACCUCCUCAUUCUUUGCAUCCUCGUCGCCUUCACCCACCAACCCUCGUUUCCUCCGAUUCCGACCCCCUCCUCAAGGGCUGCACCCCCGUCCACCGCUUCACCUCCCUCCAGUCCGCAGCCAUUCUCUUCUUCAUCCUUCUCCUCGCCCUCACCCUCCUCCUGUCUGAGUCCACCCCUCUCCUCCCAUCCUUACCUCCAGAUCUCUUUUUCGGCCUCGCCUCUGCCAUCUUCUUCCUCCACUACUCCAUCUCCUCAGCCUUCGCCUCUGUCCAGACCUCCGAUCUCCAGGCUGAGUGCGACCGUGUCUCCGCCCGGGUCUCUGCCCUCUCUUCCCUCCUCGGCCUCAUCCUCGCCUACCACCCUAGGCUCUUUUUCGCCGAUGUCGGCCCUCAUCUGUUCCCUCCUUCCUCAUUUGUUCAUUCUAAUUCCCUCCCCAAUUCGAAAAAAAAAGGAAUUCACCGAAUUUCCGUAUUCAAUUCGGUAUCGAAUUCGAAAUUGGAAUUGGCCAUUUCGAAAUCGAAUUCGGUCAGGAAAAUUCCAGUCAAAAUUUCGAAAAUUUCCGAUUUCAAACUUCUGAAUUACCGCUUUCGAUUUCGAUGCACAGCCCUAGUUAUAUAUAAAUUUUAAAAUCAUAUGAGUGUUAUGUCGUAAAAUAUCAAACUGCAGGGCAGAUAAAAGGUAAUAUACCCAAAAAAGAAUGAACUGAGAUUUCUAAUACCGAACUCCUGACAUAAAAAUAACCCACGGGAGACCAUCGGCGUAAGUGUAUAACCCAACAAAGGUGUGUUUGUCCAAUGUUGUACCCUUUGAUCCAGAAAUUGCGAAAUUAUUGAGGCAAUGGGUGGAAAAAUUGAAAAGUUCUUAAACAUGUAUAGACACAAAAUAUAUCAAAAAUUUUCUAGUGCAGCGGCUGAGGACACAGUAAAUAUCUUGGACUUGGACGCAUUUGCAGAGUCUAUGACAAGGCAUUAAUAAAAUCAACCAAAAUUGAUUCUAUGAGAUUUAUUGCGUGUUAAUUUAAGCCAUCCAUAAGUAACGUAGGUUCAGAUAACUUGCUUAGUAUGGUUUAGCUGGAUAAACAAAGUGGCAAUGUGAAGGCGGUUUUUCCUUUUUCUUUCUCUUUUCCUUGAAGAAGAGGAGAGGGGUCGCGGAGGGUUGGGGUUUAAAUUACAUUAACAUUUCCGCUUUCUGUCUCACGCAAUUGAAGAAAAAAGACAAAGGUGUUGUGUCAAAAUAUACAGGAGUGCAAAAGCACGUAUGACGUACAAGCCCUUCCUAAGCCUAAAAGAAGACAAAAUGAGGUUUGAUAUCGUAUUACAAGCACAGCCUCGUUGAUGCCUUUAUAAUGAAACAUAAAGUAAAAGAAAAAGGAAUUCUUAACACUACUACUUGUACGUAAAGAUUAUAAUCCACCAUGUUUCACCAAACCCGGUUUCAAGUAUGUGAUCAUUCUCUAGAUCUAUGAAAUUCACCUAUAUAUUGAGAUUUGUCUGGUCAUAUUUUCGAAUAGAUGGGCAAGAUUCAACCGCAGAGUCUUAGUUUAACUCAAGAUUUGGGAUAAUGCCAUGGUGACUUUACGUCACUAUACUUUAACGGUAAUUAAGUUCUUAAUUAUGAGCUAUUAUUAGCGUGUUUAGUGAUUAACUACUAGUACAUUUUGUUAUAUAAGUGAUCAUAAAAAUAUUUUCCUUAUUAAACUGUUUUUAAACAAAGCUUAAUUAUCGUCUACAGUAUGAAAUAUAGAUAAUAGUCAGGAUAACAUCGAAAAAAAGAAAACUUUAACUUUAGUAAAAUAACGAAUAUUUUGAAACAUUUCAAAAUGAAAAAGAUGACGCUUUCAAUGAGACGACAAAACUUAGCAUUUCAGAUUCGAUUGAUUGAAGUCGCCACAACAUUUGUAUUUGAUUAAGACGCCUGAGUAAUUGCGUGGAGAACAAAUUCAUAGGAGUUGUUUGUUCGAUCGGCCCUUCCAUCCCAAGCAUGCAUUUAUUACACAGUUACACGUCUUGGCAAGAGUCAAAGGUAAUUAAUAAUAAAUAACUGCCCACAACCCAUUAGUUCAAUUGUUCGUCUGAUCCAAUUUUAAUUGCCAGUGUAAAGGAAAAAAUUAUUAUUAUUAUUAUUUAUUAUUGGUAGUCAGGAAAUUAACGAGUUGACAGAGAAUGCGAUUACUUUCUCCGACCUCUUCCUCUAAUAGUUUUUCCGUAUAUAUACGCAGGUGCUUGUGUUUUAUCCUUGAAUUCACCAUUUAUAAACCACUACCUGGACAGCUUAUCCAAUAAGUGCUAGCUCACUUAUAUAUGUAAGAGAGAAAGCAAAUAUAUAUAUAUAUAUAUGUAUAUGUAUAUUUGCAAUGAUAGUUCCUGUACCAACUGAACUUACCAAUUAGAAAAAAAGAGAAAAAAGGAUUCUUUUCAUCCUUUAAUUAGGCUAACAUGUCAAGAUUAAUUAAGCGGUACAUAACAAGAGCAAGGACGAGAGGAUGUUUGGAAGAGCAAACGAGAAAAUGGUGCUUUAUAUGGAUACUUGGAUUAAUGGUAAUUAAUACUUGGAUCUACCACUAGUUGAGUUGUUAAUUGAUGUAGAUUUUGUAACCGGUACUUCUAAACGAUCCUCAAUCGUUAGAAUACGUAGAUAACCAUUCUUCUCCUCUUUGGGUUUGAAAGCAAAACAUUCCAUUUUUGCCUCCGACUUGAAGACGUUGCAAACACCCAUAUUGCCAAAAUGAGGAUAUAUAUAUAUAUAUAUAUAUAUAUAUAUACAUGCUCAUACAUGUGCGUGUGAAAGCAGAAAAUUUUUCAAGUGGACCUAAGCUAAGCAGUUGUCAAUUGUGGAUUAAAAACAAAAUUCUGUGAUUAUGAAUUAAUAAGUCGUUAUUAUAUAAUCUUCCAAGAUGUUGACGUACUGGUAUCUCAUUGAUUGUGGUAAUAAGUUUUUUAUCCAAUGUCUUGCCAUGUUUAACGCGUUAACCAUUUUGUCACUAAAACAAAACAAAGCCCCCUCCCUCUUCUGACUACAAAGGAAAAAUUUUUUUUUUUUUUUUUUUGGGUGCAAGAACAACUUAGAGGAGGACCAAAUACUUUGAAUGCCUCCAAAUUCCACCCCAUUGGACUAAGCAUGUCUUCUUGGCCGGUGAAAAAUUCAGAAUUGGUUACGACCGAGAAAGGACAAGUCUUCUCCUGCUUCAGGCCAAAUCACAGCCACAGUUCAAAUCUCUUCUAAUCUACCUGUUUGAAUAUUGUGACAUUUAUCUAACGGAUUUGUGGGAAAACAUCUACUUAGGUCGUUCGGAAAUUGACCCCGUGUUCGACCAUCUAUCUGUUCAUGAGUCAUGAUGAUGAUCACCUCGAUCAUCUUAGCCCUUCUUUGGCUGAUUUUAACCUUUUUUUUUUAUUUUUAUAAAUGUCAUGGAGAUUGACCCGUGUUCAAAGAUGCUCAUGCUACGUCUCAAAAUUACGGGUCAAUUUUGAUCAAUCCCGGUGGUUCUUUUUUCUUUUUGGGGGGGGGGGGGGUUUGGGGUGUCACCUUCAUUGAAAUUCUUUUCGUCUUUGCUUGUCAAAAUUCAGAUCAACCCAGAAAUUCCCCCGUAAGUGUCUGGAAAAGAACGUGCAAAUACAUCCCAGCGAAACAUUAAUAUAAGAAUGCUAGACAAACACACUAGCACCAAAAAAAAAAAAAAAAAACUUAGGAAAAGGGGAUAUAUAUACCUUUUCUCUUCUUGAUAAUGAAGGAUUUCUAUUGAGAAAUAGCCGCGUUGUGGCUACUGUAGCUAUAAAAUAAAAAAGAAAACAAGGCACUGACUUAAAGAAGACGAUGAAUGUCACCAGACAAUGGUCCAAGUCAUGCUCCAGCUAUCUGUUAUUUUCCCAAAUGAAGCAAAAAGGAAAGGUGGAUUUUUGUGUAGAGCGGUCCAACAUCUUUUUUCUUUAAGCAAAAAGCGAAACGCAUGCAGAACUCUUUAUGCUUCAUUCUAUGUUUUCUACAAACUUAUUCCCCCGCUUCAAUUGUGCACCACCAACCUUAGGCUCUCAAGGUAAAUAUGGUGAUAUGUUUUCUAAAUUUUCAAAUAAACUCAACAUAUUUGCUUUUAUUUCCUUUUCAGUCAAAUGACUUUUGUUUUAAAAGAAUUACGUAGCCAAGACAAAAACAUUCUCACUAAAUAAUUAUGAUCAAAAUUUUUUUUUUUAUACAGUGACAGUAUAUACACUAUCAUUAUUAGGUGACAAUUAAUCUAAAUCUGAAUUUGAAGUUUAAAUUUUACAUGUACGUCGUCAUAUGUUCAAUAAUGAUAGUGUAUGCAGUGUCAAUAUAUUUAAGAUUAAGUUGAAUAAUUAACUAAUCCAAAACAAGGUGUAUCUGUGACUAUAUAUGAGACCAUGACUCUUAGGGGCUGCUUGGCAAAUGGGUCUAAAGGGUAGGAAUGGGUAUCAAAACUAAUGAUACCCUUAUUUAUUGUUUGGUAGACUACUAUGUCAAUUAUUCAAUGGGAAUCAAAGUGUUAGAUCUUUCUCCCUAUGAUUCCCUACUUGAGCUUCAAAUUAUUUAGGUCUUUGAUAUAACGAAAACUCAUUUAACUUUCAAAACCAAACAAGGAAGAGAGAAUUACCGAACUCACACUCAUACUGGAAUUUAUAAUUCUCAUUCCAAUUUGGAUCCAGAUUCCGAAAUUUGAACCAACAGCUUCUUAAUGUAUGAAUUGCCAUAACGAUCACACGUGGAACUGCAAACACGAGCUUUCACACCUGUGCUCGCAUUUGCUCGUAAUAUUUGAAUCGAAUCCGCAUUGGGAAGUUGGAAUCAAAUCCUUGCCGAAACCUGAAUUCGAACAAGUCCUUGUGUGAAAAAGGGAUGGGAAUUAGAAUUAACAGAGAUAAACUUUUCCUAGAAAAGUAAUGCGUACUUGUAUUCUGCACAUCAUUUCUUCUUCAUUGCUUUGCUAUAAGCUUCUAAUUCCUCGUCCGUCCAGUCUUAAACUCUGCACCUCUCUUUUUCCCUUCUCAAAUCUUAGCUAUCAUUUACUUAGUGUAGUAUUUGUCCCAUUGAUUUUUUUUUUUUUGCCAAUUGUGAACACCUACCGCACCUCUAUUCUAAUCUAUUUAGAGGAAAAUUCAACCGGAUUAAAAGAGGUUAGAGAACCUCUAAAUCAAAAGAAUGUACUAUUACACACCUGCAUCCUUUUGAAUCUGUACCUUAUACACGAUUAGCUCAUCUAAGGCGAGUUGGUUGUUUCAUUGAGAUUAAAGGUUCUGAUUUUUGAACUUGGUUACAUGGCAAUACGGAGUCAAAUCAGUCAAUUUAAUUGGAUGCUGGAGGGAUUGUGCCGCAAGAGCACAUUAUAUUAAUGGCAUGUCCAGCCUCCCAGUCUAAGUACCAGGGAUAAACUGGGUUUGUUUGGAUAGAGUAUUAUUCGAAAUAUUAUUUGGAAUAAUUACUGUAACACUUUUUGUGAUGCGAUGAAUGUGAGAUAAAAAGAUGAUUGGAAAUAUAAAAAGGUGGGUUGAAAAAUGUGUUUAUGAUACAAGCGAAAUAUUAUUUGGAGAAAUCUGCUAUCGAAACACUCCCAUGUUUCUUCUUCUUUUUUUUUUUUUCCUAGAAUGACUCUAAAUACACGAAUACUACCACGUGACAUUUAAUCACCCCAUAUAUUAUAUAUUAUAUAAUAAUAUAUAGCCCCAUGCCCAUUCUAUUGCACUUUGCGCUUCUUCGUAGCUGUAGUCAAUACAUCUAGCUCCAAAAAUGACAUGUGACGUUCAACCUCUUACGGCGGUGGGGACACCAAAUACACUGCAUCGAGUAUAUGUGUGGGGACAGAGAUGGAGCCCACGUCGAAAUAUCAAAUACGGAGGCAGCCUACCCUCAGAAGAUAAAGAGGGAGCAUAGAGCAGCAAUGCACAUACACAUAUAAGAUUCAGAGCUGUUUCGUGGUCCAUUGUUUCUGCUAUAGCUUGCUGACCUCAAGAACGUUCGUUGGUGGAGUCUCAAUCUUAAAUCCGGAACUUCAAUUCCAUAAUUAAUCGGAGGGCCAGCUAAAGAAGCUCGAAAUGAUGACUCGAUAAUGCAUUUCUUUUUGUUUUACAAGUUAAAAUCGAGAGCCUGCAGUAACCUUUUUCUUUAUGAUGAAUCGGGAAUUUUGUUUUCUGCUAGCCUAUAAUACGACGGAAAAGCGGAACAAGCAGAGUGAGGGCGGAGGGGCCGUGUACGGAACUUCGCGGACGUCAAGAUGGGUACGACUUCUUUUGGCCACUAACCUGUGCAACUAAAGUAGUACCCACCGCCCAAAAGGAAAAACAAGGAAGAACAUUACAUGGCAAGCAAGACUAAAAAAGAUGAGUGUUGUAAUAACUUAUAUAAUUUAUUCCUAAGAGUCAGUAUAAGAUUAUCUUUCACUAAAUCGUCGUGAGAAAGCGUAUUAACGUCUAGGCAUAUGAUUGAGUAUAAUGUGGUGGAAAUGGUUUGGAUCAUCAUCAUCAUCAUGCCUCAUGAGCAACUUCACACUCAUAAAUCCAAUCAGAUGCACAUUGCAAGGAAAAAGCAGAAAGUUAGAGCCCUUGGCCAAUGGUCAUCCUUGUUCCAACCCCCUCCAAUCAACCAAUGACUCGGACAGAAGAGAUUGCGACGUUUUGCGAAGACAACUGUGCGCUCAAUAAAUACGACGUUCCGGCUCAUAGAUCGGAUGGACGAGACACGCGCACCCACCCAAGAUGAUGGGGUUGUUUAGGUUGGAUGAUCUUGAUCUAUCAAGCAAGCCGCUGUGGCCUUGUAGCCAAUAGGGCCAGAGCAGUAGGGUAGGGUAGGGUAGGGUAGGGGAGGAUGGGAGAAAGAACCCCAUUAAAUUGGAUUUGGGGCAGGGACGGUCAUCAGUAUGACCGUCCCUGCACGGUUAAAAAUUUGUGCGGCUGAAAAUUGGCCCUCAAAAUUUUGUGCGGCUGAAAUAACACAAUGUAACUCGAAAUUCGCGCCAAGUGUGGCGCCCAUCACUAUCUGUUGUGAAAAUACAUCCUGUGAAAAAAAAGUUACGCGCAGUUGAACCAAUGUUACGCGCAGUUGAAAUGAGCUAAAAUUGGCAGGGACGGUUGCACCUGCAACCGUCCCUGCCCCGAGUCCCCAUUAAAUUAGAUGUGAAUUACUACAUUACUGCUUUUAAAGUGGAAUUUCCCAAAAUAGAAAGGCCAUCCGCGUGUCCCGGUAUCUGAUGUUGAUGCUGCCCGCCCUUUUAAGGUUGUAAAUCUGACCCGAUUUGUACUCUCCUCUCCGCCGGGGCCCGGGGGGUGAGGGGUCCACAGUACCGUUCAUCAAUUUGCAAAAAAGCUUCGUCUCUCUUCACUCCAAUUCAUUGGUCCCCCACUCAGCUGCACCAUCAUCUCAGCUUCACCUCCCCAAUUGAUUGAAUCUUGGCCAAGCAUAAAUUCUUUUGCUCAAAAUUCAUUUAUUUUGACACGUACUAUUAUAAUAUAACCACAGCGUUGUUUUGCAUUUUCUUGAGAACCCCCCCAGUUUGUUGUGUAUUUUAGAUAAUACCGCUAAUUUCCGGCAUCCGUGUGAAGUGGGCCCUCUCUCGUGGUACUAAUUGCACAACACCACCAUGCACCAUCACCGCAGCAGGGGAAGGGACUAAAAGUAAAAGGAAGAAAAGUAACUUUUUUUUGUUAUCUUUUUGGCCAGAAAUGCCCACUUCACACAAUUUUUGACUGCCAUUGGUGGCAAAGCGUUUGCAUAAAUGGUGUUUGUGAGUGUUUCCUGGAAAACUUUUUUCUGCUGACCACUCAUAUAUGGAAAGUAUUGCAAUUGAGUGAACCAUGUGAAGUGCAAUUUCUUUUGAAGUUUGUCUCUCUCCUGAAAAUCUCUCUCUCUCUCUCUCUUAAAAGUUAAAACCAAACCCAAAAAUCAAACCAAAAAAAAAAAAAAAAAAGGAAAGAAAUUCUUGCUUGUUGAUCACACAAAAAAUUGCAAAUGCGGGGGAAGCACUUUGUAGGGCGUUAUUAAUUUGGCCAAAACUGGCUGAAAACUGCACAAAAUAGAGAAGACAAUAGGAAAAGCUUUGUUGAGCUUGAUCUGUUUGUACAUUUGAUUGACAGUUCAGAGAUCCAAAUUAGAAAAUUAGUACUGCCUAAACGACCACUGUACUGUAACUGAUGAUUCUCAAGAUGAAGGGGCAGUACCCCCCAAAAAAAACCACAAAAAACAACAAAACAAUACAAAAAAAAAUAGAGUACUUGUGGUGGGUUCUCAAAUUAGGAGCUGUUUAAGGUUAAAACCGCUAUUGAUCCUUGAAAGAAAACCGAGAAAUGAUAAUCUCAACCAUGAGGAUGAGGAAUGUUAUUGGCAUGUCUGCAUCAGCCAUGUGGUGUCAUUAAAUUUGCUCAUGUUUUGGAAAGCAACCUCAGAGCCAAGUGACAUGUUACAGCUGCUAACAGCCUUUUUUUUUUUUUUUGGAACCAAACCAUCAUACUUUAUUAUUAGCAGAAUAAGAAUUCAUUUCUCAGGGGUAAGCGUUGGAAUAUAUUGCGUGAAAGGCUAAAAUGUCCUACGAAUGAUCUAUAAGGGUAAUUUUGUCAAAUUAAUAUUUUAUGGCUGCAAGAAAUUCCGCUAUUAAUUUCCCCAAAAAUUCUUGAGAUCUAACACAACUGUAAUUAUCAUUAACGACUUAGUUAACCGUGAAGUGUCUAAUUCGAGACUCUCUCAGAGUCUUCCCUUCCUAACAUUUAAAACCUCCCUUGAACGGUUCAAAAGAAAAAAGAAGAGAUUCUCAAUAAAGGGUUGUUAUCUUUUUGUUCAUUUUUUUUUUUUUACCAAGCAAGUUAAGACUUUUGUGGUAAUAAACUAACCCGAAUCCCGUGAGAACCCCAAAAGCCGGUAUCUCUUGAGGUCUCACAGGGAACUAAUAUACUACCCUAAUCCCCCUAACAACCCCGAUGUGGGAUCUUUUUGUUUAUCAAUUAGAAAAUUUUUAAGAGAGAGAGCGAGAGAGAGAGAAUCUUUCUUUUUCUUCCUUUUUGGGCUAAGGUGUUGGUAAAUGUACGGUGUACGCAAAAUGGUAUGGGUCAUGAGCAUCAAAUACCAGGCCUACAAGUCAUUGCUGGCCCUGGGCUUUAUACAUGCAUAUGAUUUGUACUUAACAUAGAUAAUGGGCUUUGAAUCAUUUGUCCGACCAUCUGAUUAUGCAGUAAAAGCCCAUAUACAAUGUCCAGCUACGUAGAUUGAAAGAUAGCCAGUGAAACAAAAAAGUUGCUUCUGGAAGCCCAUGGAUUCGAUUCCUCGUCCGCCACAAGCCUCGAAAGUGUGUCAUUUUCAAAGGAAACACUUUUUUAUUUUAUCCUCCUCCUCCGGAAAUGUGCGGACUAAAUAUUCCUUAUUCUAAGAACCAUCAGCAAUAUAUAUAUAAGCUUUGGUAGCAGUAAUAUAAUAAGUAUGCCUGGUGCAUGCAAAUGCAGAGGCUUUUUUGCUAUGCGGGGAGAAAUGCUAAAACAAGACUGAAUUUAGAUAAUCGCUUUGUGGAAUAUUAGCACGGCUUCAGAACAAGAAAACUGUAUACCCCGCCCCCGGGGGGGGGGGGCUAUGUACAAUCUUCCAUAACAAAGGAAUAUAUAUAUAUAUAAUGAGUGAUGAUGUCUUCUGCACGCUUAUUCUUGAAGCUCGAACAACAGUAGAAACAUCCAAACUACAUCACAACACAUCAGAAAGUGAAACGACUUCCAUUUCAAAGGUUCUUGUAACAUAACAAAAUUGGACUGCUGCUUCCUAGUCGACUAGUCACUCGCGUGACUGAGUUUCACGCGACACACCAUACUGCACCAUAAAAAAUUCAGCAAGGCUACAUGUAUUUUCCUGAUCAGUUCACCAAUCAGUUAUAAAGGCCUUCGUUCAGGAUGCUCAAUUCUUCGAGUCUGCGACGCUCCUUUACGUGAUUAAUGUAGCUUGUGGCCUUUGUGUCAACUUGUUCAUCUCCACCAAUGCCUGUAGGGCCGUGAACGUAGCCAUCCGAACUAGGAAAGCCUCCGCCUGGCUGUGAGAAAGACUCUGUUUGCACCGCGGCCGAAGAUGCGCGCGGCUCUGGCUCAACCUUUGUAGCAUAUUGCAUCAUAGAUGGUGCAGGUUUAGCAGCUCUGUAGAAAGACAUAACCAGCUUGCUCUUCAGAAGGCUGCCUCCUCCUCCACCUUGCAUCCGGUUGGCGAUCUCCAUUUUGAGUUACAGCACAAAAUUAGAAACUUAUAUACAAUUUACUGGGGGCAGCUCCACUAUUUAUUGGACUGAGGUUGUUAAGAUAAAAAUGAAUCUUCUUGAUGAUCGAUCAGUGGUCCCCUAGCUAAUUACUGCUUUGCAGUCAUAUAAUACUCAAUUAGUUGUAGUUGGAUAUAUUCCUCUUUAUAUUUAAUUCCAGAUUCGGACCCAUUUUCCGAGAUAUGCUUAAUGCAGAAUUGCGUUGGUGGAUUAAAACAUAUCCAAGGAAAGAUUGAGCCGACUGUGGACUUUCUUUAUGCAUGGCUUCCUGCUUCGCUUUUUAUUCUCUGUGUCUAUCCCGUGAUUUGGUACAAGAUCUUGCGUUUGUUUACUUAUUCUUAUUUGUAUGGUGCUAUAGGCCAGGCUCGGUUGGAGCUGCCUUUGACGAACUAUAGUUAGAAAGUACAACUACUAGUUCAGCGCCUUUAACUAAGAUAUACAUCCCUGAUUUCCUGUGGUCCUGGAACACAGCAAUCACCAAUCAGCGCUGCUCGAUGAUGAUGAUGUUUAUCUCAUGCAAACAACCCAAUAUUGUGAUAACGUACUGGAGUUGAUAAUUCAUGCACUAAGAGUGGGGAUCAAGCGAGUUGCCACUCCAAGACCUGCCGUGUAAAUGGCCUGCAUAAGAAGCUUGUUGCUGUGAAUAAAUGUUCAUCAAAGAUAAAACUAAUCAAGAAACUCAACAUAGAAUUAGCCCAUAUAUCAGAGAAUGAAGAAAGUCCCUCCAGAUGAUUGCGUAUGAAACAGACCGCAUUUGCAGAUGAAAUUCUCAGCCUGACCUCCUUUCACAGUUGAUUUUAAUUAACCUAUGUCAUUAUUUCAUUACAAUGAUCCACUAGCAGAAGUGGCAGAAUUACUGUUGUAUGACUUUGUUCUCAAACUCUGUGAGGCUGAGGAGAGAAUUUUCAGUUCAACGGCUGCAUAUCACAUCAGCUUAUGCAUCACAACAGACUAGGAUUAUAAUUUGGAGUUCCACUUUUGGAGAUUGUAAAUCUUCAGCACAGGAUCCUGGGAUACGCAAUUCCAUUUUCUCCAACGACCAUUAGAUAAUUAUACUACUUAAGAUGGGAACAACUGCAUUGAAGUUUUUCUCGUUGCAGAGGGGCUGAAUUACCUGGAAGUGGAGAAAUAAGAAAGUAGGUGAAUGGUGAAAUUUUCAUUUCCUCAACAGGUAUCAAGAAUAGGUCACACAGAUAAAUCUAGCAACAGCAAACAUUCUUAAGAGGGAGGUGAAAAAGAAUUAGUGUCUAGUACAGCAACAGUUUAUUGACGCAGUCAGCACAGUGCAAGCAACGGCAAUUAACGAGAGCUACUCCCACAGGAAUGUUAGAGUCUGCUGAGAUCCACCACUUGUAGAUGACUCUUCAGGUCCAUUCUGAAACAUUUCCUGGAAAUGAAGGGUGGCAUUGUUGCUCACUC
rnacentral:lncRNA from 1 species